rnacentral:lncRNA from 1 species
GCUGCUUCUCAGAGAAAUAAGAUACGAUAUUACUUGAUCAGGGUUUUAAUCCCAAUAUUUGGCUUCAUGUCGCUCAUAUUAUUGGUCUACUUCCUACUCCUGGAGAGAAAAAUGUCAAGAAGAACAUAUGAAUCACAUGCUCCUUUGGGUGAGCACUUCCCUAAAGUUUCUUACAAUGAUCUGGUUGAAGCAACAUGGAAUUUCUCCGAUGCUAACCUGAUUGGGAAAGGAAGCUAUGGUACAGUGUACAAAGGAAAGUUGGUGCAGAAUAAGAUGGAAGUUGCAGUGAAGGUUUUUGACCUUGAGAUGCGAGGCGCGGAGAGAAGUUUUAUGUCCGAGUGUGAAGCACUGAGAAGUAUUCAACAUCGGAAUCUUCUUUCCAUCAUAACUGCAUGUUCUACUGUUGAUAGCAACGGCAAUCCUUUCAGGGCCCUAAUUUAUGAUUUCAUGCCCAAAGGGAACUUGGACAUGUGGCUUCAUCACAAGGGAGAUGAAAAAAACAAGGGGGAUGACAAUGCUCAUAAGAAUCUUACUCUAACUCAAAGAAUAUCCAUAGCUGUCAACAUAGCUGAUGCAUUGGACUAUUUACACAACGACAGCGAAAACCCCAUCAUCCAUUGUGAUGUUAAGCCCAGCAAUAUCCUUCUUGAUGAUGACAUGGUUGCUCAUUUGGGAGACUUUGGCAUUGCGAGGGUUUUUCUUGAUUCUAGGCCCAGACCAGCAGGCUCGACUAGCUCAAUUGGUGUCAAAGGAACCAUAGGGUAUAUCCCACCAGGUAAAUUUGCUCUCUCCUAUAUUCUCAGUUAUCUCUUUUCUUUUCCUUAAAAAACAUGAUGGUUAGAAAGUAACUUGCUGUGCAUACAAUAUUUCAGAGUACGCAGGAGGAGCCCGUAUAUCUAUUUCUGGGGAUGUAUAUAGUUUCGGAAUAGUGCUGCUGGAGAUGUUAACCGGGAAAAGGCCAACAGAUCCUAUAUUCAAGGAUGGACUGGAUAUCGUUAACUUUGUGUGUAGCAACUUUCCACAGCAAAUACCUGAUGUUAUUGAUGUUCAUCUCAAGGAAGAAUGCAAGGAAUUUGCUGAAGCAAGCGUGGUAUCGGAGGAUCCGGUUCACCAGUGCUUGGUGUCCCUCCUGCAAGUAGCACUCUCGUGCACUCGCCCACUCCCGAACGAAAGAGCGAACAUGAGAGAAACAGCUAGCAAGAUCCAAGCAAUCAAGGCGUCAUAUAUUGAGAGGAAAGAAAAGAAGAAUAUUUCAUUAUAGUUUCCAGUUACUCAGAGUCACAACUACAUCUGCAGCAUCUAUAUGUUGCCGUUUUGACCCAGGCUGAUUGUUCUUCUUCUUUUAUUUUUCCGGCCGUCUUCCUGGUGGCAGGGCCUUUAUUUUCGUUUGAGUCUCUUCGCCGGAUCUCUCUGGUGGGGUUUCUCCUUUUUGUACUUUGCCAUCGGCUUAUUCUUCUUAAUGGAAUCUUAGCAGCUCUCCUGCUAACUUUUAAGAAAAAAGCAUCUAUAUGUUGCUCUUCCUCUGUUUGGCAAUAACGAUCUUCGUGGAAAAGAUUAAUUUAAUUAUUAGUACAUAUUUCUAUGAUCCUACUCAGGGCAUGGACCCUAAAUAUUUAGAUGGAGAUGUUCUUGAAGAGACCUUCAAAUUGUAAUCAUCUAUCGUUCCGAAUCCCACUACUCCAGAAAAUCCCUCCAGUGACGGUCAAAAAAUGGGGUUGGUGGCGGUGAUCACGCCCGCCACCAAUUCUGUGUCACUGGAGGUUUUAGCACCGGUGACGGGUAAAAUACCCGCCACUGCUGCGCUGAGAUCACCAAUGGCGGGUAAAAUACCCGCCACCGAAGACCUACAAACCGUCACUGGUAAAUUCCUUCGGCACCACCCGAAAAGUGCGUGGAGUACAACAGUGGCGGACGAAGUACCCGCCACUGGACAUUUCCAGUGGCGGUCUGUGGCCACCGCCACUAGAACCUUUCCAGUGCGUGGAGUAUAGCAGUGGCGGUGGUUUAUAACUGCCACUGGCACUAUUUUUUCCCGAAAAAAAAAUUAUUUAUAAAAAUAAAUAUUCCUAUAGCACAGAAAUAGCAGGAAUACAGCACAUCACAGAUAAUAGCAGGAAUACAACAACACAAUAUACAACACCAAAGAAACAGAAUAGCAGCAAAUAUAUUACAAAGUUCCACACGACUUAAACAUUCAAGUCGCAUGCAUCUAUACAAAGUGUUUGAAAGAAUGAGCCACAAAUAAAAGUAUUCCACACAAUUUAGCCACUUUUGGCGACAAUCCUGCCGCCGUAGUAAUCCCCGCUCGAUUUGAGGACCUCCUUGUUGAGGAUUUCACCGAUGUCCUUCUGGGUCUCGUACACGAGAAUUUCUGAGUUGUGCCCUAACUCGGUGUUGGCUAGAAACCAAUUCCUCACUUCUUCGAAGGUCUUCUUCCCCUUCGGCUUGAAGUCGUUAAUCAUCUGCUGAAUAGUGUGUGCGCAGUAGUAACCACAGUAGACGGAUCCUUCAGGCUGUUGCUCGCAGGGGAAGUUGAAAGUGUGCCUGAGGGGAGCGUCAGGAUUGCGGCUGAAGCUAGUCAUCCCGUACCACUUCACCGCGUCGCGAUAGGUUGCGUCGAUGACAUAUUGUGGUUCAUUCCCCUUGCGUCGCAGUGGAUCAAAAUAUGUGACCCCUCCCAUAUCGAGGCAGAUGGCGAUUGUCACCCAUGGCCGCUGUUUCACAAUGGGACGCACAUUGUAUUAGCCAAAUAAUAUAGCAAGCAAGUCUUCCGACGGAAAAAGAUUUAUGUAUUCACGCGAAUUGAAAACAACUUACUGUAGAUGGUACAAUAUCAAUACAAAACGAUUGUCUUUGUGCUUCAACAUGAAUGGAGUGAGGUAUUCAAUCGUCAACCUUCUACUUUCGGCCAACAAUGGGUCUGGACCAAGCAAAGUGGCGUUGAAGAGAAAGGGGUCGGCGACGGCAAUCCCAUAUUGCUUCAUCCUAUAGGCCUCCCUCGUGUAGUGUACACACCACAGUCUUAAUAUGGCGUUGUCGAGGCACUUGCGGUUGAAAAGGUGAAACAAGUCGAGAAAGUCAAUGCCGAAGGUAACGUCAUUUUCCUUCUGAAUUUCCCCCGUAUUGGAGUCGAAGAAGCCAUAAUGCUUUGGCACUCGAACCCUAAUUUCCAGAUUUGUUAGGUCUGCGCCUGAUGAUGCCACAUUCAUGUAUUUUUCAUGGAGCUCUUGCAUCUCCCGUGGCAGGCGAUACAGGUCAUCCUGGGACACCAUCGGUUGUCCGGGGUGGAACAACAAAAAUUAGGAGAAUCGCCUGUCCACGAAAUAAGACCCAUCAGGCAAUCUAUCUCCAACACGGGGGUGGGUGGGCAUCUUCAGAAUGUCUGGUCGCUCUUUCCAAAUUCCUUCUAUCUGCGGCGCGGUCUUUGGUUGUCUUCCCGUAGAAGACAACUCUUUCCCCUCCUUGGAGGAGCCCUUUCUUGCCUUGCCGCCUGUCCCCCUUUUGUUUUUCCUGCGUCUCAGGAAAUCGGAACCGUCCUGUUUCUGGGGGACCUGCAUCCCAGCAGGGGCACUCGGACGGUGCUCCAACGGGGCCGAUUGUGCUGUGGCUCUCCGAGGGACGGGUCUUGGUGCGGAUGGCUUCGGGGCUUCAGGUUUGGGCGGCGACAGAGGAUUUUUGCCUGCAUUGUCGUCGCUGCACUCCACCGCAGGUGAGAAGUCUCGUUCCGCGGGCUUGUAGUCCAAAGGACCGGGUGAGGUGCCAAGUGGCGAUGGAGACGUCAGGCGCCGGGCGGGUGGAGACAGACCAAGGUGGGGCGACAGAGAUGGAGACGGCUCCGUAGCGAGGACCACCAACCUCCUAGGCCAGAUGAGGUAGGAGUUGACGCAAUCCCUUAGGGUCGUCGCCUCUUCGUGCGGAGGAUAAGGGACCGGUUCGUCCUCGAAGCCCUUGAGCACGGAGUCCACCUGCACCCUGACCAUGUCGUCUCGCAGGGUCACAUGGUGCACCACAGCCGUACGCAGCAUCAGCAACCCGCACGCGCCCAGAGGAUUCCCCACCGUCGGCAUGUGUAGCCGGCAUUUGACGCCCUUCUGCGCAUGACAAACAUGACAACAUCAUUAAUAGAUUGGAGCAUGAUAGUGGUAUUUCACUAUUUUUUGUAGCACGGGAAGACGCUUACCGUGAGGUCCUUGUCGGGUGGCCCAAGCGGGUCAAGCUGGCACUCGGUGCCGGAGCAUGAGGUGCUCUUAUUGGGUAGUGGGGACGGAUCCGGUGUGGUUGGGGUUGGUUGGAUGGGCGCCGGCGGAAAAACCCCGUGAUCAAUGAAGUUGUCGAUGUCACGCUGGUCCCUUGCAUGCCGCAUGAGCUUCCUGAGCUCCGCCCUCGCCAACACUCGGAUCUUCUCAUCUAAUUCCUCUGAGCUCUGUUCUUUGCUGGACGCCCUUCUGCGUUAGCGUGAACAUUGCUCUUUCACCAUCUGCCUGCGAAAGGGCUCGGAACCGACACCUCGCAUAUGGCCCCCGUGCUCAUUUCGUUGCAGAGCGUAGCUGAUGGCAUCAUCUCACUAUUGGUUGAUAGACGAGUGGGAGCCAUCCGACUCCUACUCUGCCAUUGCACCCUGUAUACAAAAAGCAACAUGCUCGGUGUUAAUCUUAUAUGUGAGUAUAAGAAGCCCAACCGAUAAAAGAAGAUGUCAGGACGAGGCCUUACGAGUGCAGCUUCUUGCUUCUCUGACAUAGGCUCUAGGCCCGCCCACUGAUUUGCGGUCAUGGACGACCGCAGCCAUUUGCUGGAGUGCUCACCGCGAAGCAAAGUUGGGAUCCUCAGCUGUAUACCGGCUUGGCCCAAUGCGGCGUCCUCCUUCGCCCACACCUUCUCCUUUCCGGGGCGUCCACGACUGCCGAGGCGGUGGUCGAAGGGCCUUCUCACGAAGCUUGUACCAUUUUUGGAUGGCCUUGAAUUCAUCUGACCUGACCCACACCUUGAACCUCUCCCAGUCCUCCUAUGAGAUCCCCUUCCAGUGCUUGUUAACCUCUGUCUUCCAGUCUUUGCCGAUGAGCUUCCUGCAGUUAUAUUGCCACGUGCUCUGGCCCUUCCUCAUGACUUGGUGCAUCCGCCACUCCAACCGUCUCCUGAUCUCAUCAUUGGCAGGCACGAACCGCUUCCAUGCCGCCUCAUAACAGUCCUGCUUCACAGCUUCCGGGACGUCGCUCCAUCUUUGAUAGAUCCGAGCACGUACCCGUACGAUGGCGUUGCAUGUGUUCGAGAAUCUUUCUGCAGCCUCCACCGGUUCCUUCGGGUAGUUUUCUUUAUUUAGCUUGGUAACGACCCACGACUCCGUCGGCACCUUGUUCGCCCCCGCUUGGACUUCGACGGAGUAGUUGACUCCGUAGCCUGAGACGUCGCACCCUGGGCUGCUUCCUCGUUAGCUGCAUCUUCAAGGAGCAGCUGCUCCUCAGCUCCUUCUUCGCUCAUGGCAAUUUCCGAACCCGAGGAAGAUGCCCCCCCUUCAUCUUCGACUUCUCCCUCCACAACCGGUGGCUGCUCAGGCACCACUUCAACGCAAGCCUGAGGUUCCUAUCCAACACUUAUAAAAGUAAUUUUUGAAAAACAGAAAAAUUCGGCAUGACCUAUGCUGUAAAACAAGAAAAUUUUGGCACGACCAUUGCUGUAAAACAACAAAUGAGUCUACUCGAAUUUUAUACCUGCAUAAAAAAAAACUCCCACCCACAUAUACCCCCUCGGCACGAUGGCCGGACCCUUCUCAACGACCCGGCACGAUGGCCGGGCCCACAUUCCUUAUAUCAACCGACACGAUGGUCGGGAUCAAAUUCAAUCAUAUUUCAGCAAACAAAUCCAUAGCAAAUUAAUCAAAUUAAACCAUAAUUUGACACUAAGCAACCCAUUUAGCGGCAAAUUAAUCAAAUUGAACCAUAUUUUACCACUAAACAUCAGCAAAUUGAUCUAAUUGAACCAAUUUAACACCAAAUUCCUCAAACUGAACCAUAAUUUGAGCCCAUUUAACAAAAAAUUAAACCUAACCCUAACCCUUACCUCGGCAGGGGCGGUGACGGCAGUGGGGAUGGCCGCGGUGGUGGUUUUGUGGUGGGGACGACUGUCGUGGUGGUGGCGUCGGCGGUGGAGGCGGGGGCCGAGGAGGUUUUGUGAGAUCGAGAUAGGCAAUCAGAGGGGGGGUGAAUGAUUGCGCGGAAGCAAAUUAAAACUUUUCCCGAAAGUUCAAACCCUAAAUCACCUUUCUGUCCGUGAUAGUAAAACAGUCGUAACUUUUGAUUGGAUGAACCAAAAAAUACGUAUGAGUAUGGAAAAGAAAGAUAUUAAAAUUAUCUAACCAACCCAACAAGAAUCAGCUCAAUCGGACUUACCAAUCAAAAGAUAUGAUCAAAAUAGUAACAGCUGACAGAAAGUUACGAGGAUUAAUCUAAAACCAAUUUCGAGGAAUAACAAGAAAGAUGAAUUAAUCGCAAUCUUCUCUUGAUCUCGUGAUAAACCUGAAGCAAAGUAUUAUGAACUUGUGAUGAACCUGCACCAAAGUAUUAGAAAGAUCUAGCACGAAGAUUUCACGAAGAUCCGAAAAGAACAGAGAUGACACCGCCAACGAAUCUCUUUAUUGCAACGAUGUCGAUCGAUUACAAAAGAUGCAACCAUGCAUCCAAGAACUCUCCAAGAAUUGAUCUAGAUCCAAAGCUUUGAGUUCCCUCACGUCCUUGCUAAAACCCUAGCUAGGAUGCCCUCUAUUUAUAAGGGAAAAUUCGCAACCCUAAACUGAAUCCGAAUCCAACACGGAUUCCUCUGUCCCGGUCAGUAUUUUGCCCGUGGGGCCCGCAUACGACCUCGGAUUGAGAUGACUCCAAAAGCAAAGUUGUUCGUCUCGACGACGCGCACAACUUUCAUGUGGAUCAAUUUUCCAUCCGACGCCAUCUUAAUGACGCUACUGUUUAAUCUUUAAACAGCUCUUAUCCAGCCACGGCUGGACCUACAUAUCUUCACCUCGAUGUCACUUCAUGCCAUCAACUCUUCUUGUGAUGUCUUCAAAACUCGACCAUCACGUAUCGAAUAUCUCCAAUACCGUACAUCUCCGGUAUAAACAACAUACGACAAACCGGUGCUCUUCCGGAUCAUCGUAGCCUUCACUUCCAUUGUUCCUUCGCACAAACGUCCCGCAUGACCUUGAUCCUCGACCUCAGCUUCUCCCAAGCUUCGUCCCUCGAUCCCGUCAUCGACCACGUUCCUCUAGCUCCGGCAACACCUGAAAGCGAACACACAAAUAACCAGUACGAGCACAAGUCCACGACUUGACUCAGGGUAAGUUCCACACAACUCACGCCAUGUUUUCACAUAAGAAACUAAUGGAUCAGCACACCACUAGCAAAGCACUAAGUCCAAACAAGAUACAUGUCAUCACUUAAAUAUCCAUAUUAUCCAAAGUAUCCACAUCAAUGUUUCAUCUAAAACACUUGCCAAUGUUACACAUCACAUAUGAUUUCACAAUCUCCCCCUUGAUGAAAACAUUGGCAACCUUUCAUUAACAACAUUAGACAUUGAACAUUGAUUGGCAUACACAUUCACUUAACUCUCAGAUUUUCAAGGUUUUGAAAAGAAAAUGAAAAACAUCAAAAAGUUGGAGAAACACCAAUAAAAGAACACCAAUAAAAGGUAAAAUAUGGUAUGUAUAUGUGUUGAAAUCUCUCCCCCUUUGACAAUGAAUUUCAUCAAAACCACACAAAAAUAUUUCCCCCGCUUCAAUUUUUUUAAACUAAAAGCGAUUUUUUUUUCUUGUAAUGAGCAUUAUGAAACAUCAUGAACAUGAUAAUUGUGCAUCCAAGUCAUGUAAAAAGUAGUUGUACUCGACAUGUAUAUAAGUAUGAUGUAAUCUACACAUGACUAACAAUCAAGUAUUGUUACGAUUUAUUGCAAGACAUGGUCUCCCCUUGUCAACUACAUCAAUACUUGAAUACAAAAUAACUUGCAGCACAUUACAUGAAACAAAGCACUUUAUAAAAGCAUAAUAUUUAUUUUCAUUGAAUUUAUAUGCCAAGUCAAUUCAACCUUGCCAAGCCUAUAUUUAAACCACCAUGCCAAGCCUAUGUCCAGAGUACAAUGAUUAACAAUCAGAAGCUUAAAGCAAUGAUAAGCAAUCAGAAGCUUAAGACAAAGGUUUCAAUAAACACAGCAACCUCCAAGUUCAUACCAAAGUGCAAUGGUAAGCAGUCUCGUGAAGAUGUAGUGCGACAUUGGCAUAUUUAUUUAGUAAAAAUUGCUUGACACCACGUGUCUUUGUAUAUUUGGAACCUUGAUACCAUUAUAUUUUCAUCAUUGCUAGUAAUUAAGUAUCCAAAACCAAAAUAGCUAACAAAGUUUAACCAUGACAAGAUUUAGUUCAAGUUAUCAUUCGUAUUAGAAGUCAUGUGAUAGACUAUUUCAUACGAGCAUACAUAUAAAAUGACAAUGUCCUCAAAACAUAAACGUGGUUGUAAAAAUGUCAUUUCAGGAUGGAAUACAAUGCUCAUUACUUUUUCAGAUUUUUUAUUUAUUAAAGAUAAAAGAACGAAAAAGAAGCAAGUAUCGUACACGAAGAACAAACUCCCCCUCAAACCAUCCCGUAUGGUUUGAUUACUCCAAGUUCACCUCGAAGAAAAGCAAACCGAGAAGAAUCCAAUGGUUUAGUAAAAAUGUCUGCCAAUUGACGUUCGGUAUCUAUAAAGUUGAGCACAACAUUUUCUUUUUCAACAUGAUCUCUAAGAAAAUGAUAUCUUAUAUCUAUGUGCUUAGUUCUAGAAUGUUGCACUGGGUUUUUAGCAAUACAUAUAGCACUAGUGUUAUCACAAUAAAGUGGUACACUUUCUAAAAUAACCCCAUAAUCUUUCAUUGUAGCUAUUAUCCAUAAAAUCUGUGAGCAACAGCAAGCAGCAGCUACAUAUUCACUUUCAGCAGUAGACUGUGCAACAGAACUUUGUUUCUUAGAAGACCAAAGUACUAAAGAAUCACCCAAAAAUAAGCAUGUACCAGAUGUACUCUUUCUAUCAAUUCUACAACCUCCAAAAUCAGCAUCCGAAAAUGCACGCAAUAUGAUACUAGAGGAAGCAGAAAGCCAAAUGCCAAAAGAUUGGGUGCCAUGUAGAUACCUGAAAAUCCUCUUGACAGCUUGUAAAUGUGAUGUACGUGGGGAAGCUUGAAACCGUGCACACAAGCAUACAGAAAAUUGUAUAUCCGGUCUAGAGGCAGCAAGAUAAAGAAGUGAACCAAUCAUACUCCUGUACAUCUUUUGGUCAACAGGUUCACCAUCCUCAUCAAGAUCAAGCGACGUCGUAGAUCCCAUUGGUGUCAUAAUAGGCUUGCAGUUUUCCAUCCCAAAACGUCGUAGCAGAUCCUUCGUAUACUUACUUUGAUGUACAAAGGUGCCCUCCUUUGUUUGCUUGAUUUGCAGCCCCAAAAAGUAAGUAAGUUCGCCCAUCAUGCUCAUCUCAAAUUCCCUGCUCAUAGUUUCUGAAAAUUCUGACACCAAAGCAUGAGAGGCAGACCCAAAGAUAAUAUCAUCAACAUAAACUUGUACGAAGAGUUGAUCAUUGCCAUGCUUGAGUACAAAUAAGGUUUUAUCAACGUUUCCCAUGGUAAAACCCUUUUCAAGUAAAAAAAAUUUUAACCUAUCAUACCAUGCACGUGGGGCUUGUUUUAAACCAUACAAAGCCUUUGAGAGUUUAUAAACAUGGUUUGGGAAAUUUGGAUUCUCAAAACCCGGUGGUUGCUUAACAUAAACCUCCUCAUCAAUGAAGCCAUUGAGAAAAGCACUUUUAACAUCCAUUUGAUAAAGCUUGAAACCUUUAGAUGCAGCAAAUGCCAAUAAAAUUCUUAUAGCUUCUAAUCUAGCAACAGGGGCAAAAGUUUCAUCAAAAUCAAGACCCUCAAUUUGAGUAAAACCUUGAGCAACCAACCUAGCCUUGUUGCGAACAAUAACACCAUCCUCACUUUGUUUGUUUUUAAAAACCCAACGUGUACCAAUAAGGGUAUGACCUGGAGGUGGUGAAACAAGAGUCCAAACUUGGUUACGCUCAAAAUUUUCUAAUUCCUCAUGCAUGGCAUUGAUCCACGAUUCAUCAGUAAAUGCAUGAGAUAUAUCUUUGGGCUCAAAAGAAGCAACAAAUGCAGAAUGAUUGUGAGAGUUAGAAUCGAUAAACCUUGACCGUGUGACUCUCUCAGUCAUGCUUCCAAUAAUCUGUUCAGGAGGGUGCAUCUUUUGAAUGUGUCGGGGUGCUGAAAUAUUUGACUCAGCAGCUUGCUCAACCCCAGCUUGAGUAGUCGAGGUAGUCUCCUGAGGGUGAUCAAUUGUAGCAGCAGUAGUAGUAGGUGUAGGAACAGCUACAGAUGGUGCAUGGACAGCAGGGGGCACGCCAUCCUCCUCAUCAUCUCCAUCAUCUAAAAAUAUUCCCUCCCCCUGAACAUGUGUUCCUGCAUUAGAAACAAGAGGACUAGAGCCAGAACUAGCCUCAUCAAAAGUCACUUCACUGGUUUCCAUUAGUCGGUUAGUCUCGUAAACAUAAACACGAUAACCACGUGAAUGAGCAGGAUAUCCAAGAAACAUGCCAUCAUAUGAUCUAGACUCAAACUUAUCUAGAUUGCCAGAUUUAAGAACAAAGCAUUUGCAUCCAAAAACUCUUAGGUGAGAUGUAACAGGUUUACGUCCAAAUCGUAGUUCAUAUGGCGUUUUAUCAAUUUUGGAUCUCAAGAACACACGAUUUGAAACAUAACAAGCAGUAGAUAUAGCUUCAGCCCAAAACUUUCUAGGAGUAGAAAAUUCAUCAAGCAUAGUACGGGCCAUCUCAACUAGAGUUCGAUUCUUACGCUCCACUACACCAUUUUGUUGCGGUACAUAAGGUGCAGAAAAUUGAUGUUCAAUGACAAGUUCAUCGCAAAACUGAUUAAAAUAUGAAUUCUUAAAUUCAGUUCCAUUAUCACUCCUGAUAGUUUUCAAAGAUUCUGGGUGCUCAACACUUAAUCUAUUCACAAGACUCUUAAAAUGACUAAAAGCCUCAUCCUUAGAUGCCAUAAAAUAAACCCAAGAAUAUCUUGAAUAAUCAUCAACAAUCACCAGAACAUACCACUUACCACCAAAAGAUUGUACUCUUGAUGGACCAACUGUAUCAAGGUGUAGAAGCUGUCCUGGGGCAUCAGUCAUGACACCAGUAAUGCGUGCAUGAGAACCUGCAACCAUCUUACCAUGUCUACAAGGAGAGCAUACAACAUGUUUUUCUCCCUUAAGUUUAGGCAAACCAUUUAAGACAUUCAUACCACUAAUGCGAGUAAGAUGAUCAAAACCAAUAUGCCCAAGUCUACGAUGCCAAAAUAAUAAAUCUGUAGAUGUGUUGGCAACUAGACACCUAAAUUUUGCAUUUGAAGCAGCAUGAAAAUCAGCCUUAAAAACUUUCCCAAAGCGUGAUAUAUCAAAAACAAGAUCACCCGAAGCAUCUAAAACUUUGCAAGCACUCUUCUUGAAAGAUACUUCAAGAUCCUCAUCAAUCAUUUGUGAAACCGACAAUAAGUUGUAUUUUAGAUUUUCAACCAAAGCAACAUCUUUGAACACAAAAUUGUCGGUUACCUUUACUGUACCUUUCCCAACAACAGUAGAGGUAGAAGCAUCUCCAUAGGUUACACUUUCAGCCCGAGAUGCACGUUUGAGGAAGGAGAACCAAUUUUUAUCACCGGUCAUGUGACGAGAACAACCGGAGUACACUAGCCAUAUGUUCUCCUUCCUCACGCGAAGUGCCUCAUUGUUGCUGUCACUGUCGUAGUCGUCACGGGAGGUAGCACUCUUAUUGCUAGCCAUAAGACACAUCCCAUUAAUGUCGCGCUUUCCUUUGGAUGCAUCAUCUUCAUCAGACUCGAUAUCCACAUCACUCAAGCAUGGUUCACCAUAUUCAUUGAUUACAGAGAAAAUACUCUGAGCCACCGCUCGAGCAAAGUCGCCCCUCUUUUUAUUCUUGAUGUUGAAGGGGCGCUUCUUCUUCUUCUUGUCCUCCCCAUUUUCUUCUUUCGCCAUCUUGGAUAGGAAUUUAGGACAAUUUUGGCGAAAGUGAUUUGGAUCACCACAUUCAAAGCACCUUGGAGCAUUGUUCCCACCUCUCUUCCUUGAACGAACAUUUUGCAGGGCACGUGUAAAACGAGAGGUGAGGAGUGCCAAUUCUUCCUCUGGGUAUUGCUCUAGCUGUUCAUCAGUUAGUUGAGACAAAGAAGACAGAGCAUAACAAUAUGUAGAAGUACCAUCAUUAGAUCUGUCAGGGUUAGUAACAAGUGCAAUUGAUUUGGAACCGGUUCUCCUAGCAAGAAUAUCUAAUUCAUGAGUUUUCAAUUUUGAGUACAGAAUAUCAAGUGUAAGUGUGCUCAUGACAGUAGAUUCUCUAAUAGAUGUAACUUUCAUCUCCCAUCUGGACAUAUCUAAUGCACUCAAAAGUUGCCUAGAAGCCUCAGCAUCAGUAUAAGUAACACCUAAUGCACGUAAGUUGCUGAGAAUUUUAUUAAAGCGUGCAAAGAAUUCAUCCAAAGAUUCACCUGUAUUCAUCUCAAAUCUCAUGUACUCCUUUUUAUACAUGUCUUGACGCACCUCCUUAACAGAGUUUGAUCCUUCAUGAUAACUACAAAGUGCGUUCCAUACCUCAUGAGCGGAUGCAAGGUGAGCAACACGGUCGAAGUCACUUCGUUGUAGACCUUGGAUGAUGUAGUUCCUCGCCUUGUAGUUGUUCUCCACGUGGACCAAGUUUAUUGGUGUGAUCGCAUUGUCCGCGGGAAGCUCAUAGGGCUUGGCGAUCUUCUCCCAUAUGGCGUAACUUUGUCCCAUGAUGUAUGCCUUCAUCUUCGCCUUCCAAAACUGAAAAUCAACACCAUCGAACACACAGGGUUUGGUAGAAUACCUAUCCAUAUCUAGCAAGUCUAAUCAACCGGUUAAGAUAGAUUAGAGAAACCUUGCUCUGAUACCAAUUGUGAGAUCGAGAUAGACAAUCAGAGGGGGGGUGAAUGAUUGCGCGGAAGCAAAUUAAAACUUUUCCCGAAAGUUCAAACCCUAAAUCACCUUUCUGUCGGUGAUAGUAAAACAGUCGUAACUUUUGAUUGGAUGAACCAAAAAAUACGUAUGAGUAUGGAAAAGAAAGAUAUUAAAAUUAUCUAACCAACCCAACAAGAAUCAGCUCAAUCGGACUUACCAAUCAAAAGAUAUGAUCAAAAUAGUAACAGCUGACAGAAAGUUACGAGGAUUAAUCUAAAACCAAUUUCGAGGAAUAACAAGAAAGAUGAAUUAAUCGCAAUCUUCUCUUGAUCUCGUGAUAAACCUGCAGCAAAGUAUUAUGAACUUGUGAUGAACCUGCACCAAAGUAUUAGAAAGAUCUAGCACGAAGAUUUCACGAAGAUCCGAAAAGAACAGAGAUGACACCGCCAACGAAUCUCUUUAUUGCAACGAUGUCGAUCGAUUACAAAAGAUGCAACCAUGCAUCCAAGAACUCUCCAAGAAUUGAUCUAGAUCCAAAGCUUUGAGUUCCCUCACGUCCUUGCUAAAACCCUAGCUAGGAUGCCCUCUAUUUAUAAGGGAAAAUUCGCAACCCUAAACCGAAUCCGAAUCCAACACGGAUUCCUCUGUCCCGGUCAGUAUUUUGCCCGUGGGGCCCGCAUACGACCUCGGAUUGAAAUGACUCCAAAAGCAAAGUUGUUCGUCUCGACGACGCGCACAACUUUCAUGUGGAUCACUUUUCCAUCCGACGCCAUCUUAAUGACGCUACUGUUUAAUCUUUAAACAGCUCUUAUCCAGCCACGGCUGGACCUACAUAUCUUCUCGCAUGACCUUGAUCCUCGACCUCAGCUUCUCCCAAGCUUCGUCCCUCGAUCCCGUCAUCGACCACGUUCCUCUAGCUCCGGCAACACCUGAAAGCGAACACACAAAUAACCAGUACGAGCACAAGUCCACGACUUGACUCAGGGUAAGUUCCACACAACUCACGCCAUGUUUUCACAUAAGAAACUAAUGGAUCAGCACACCACUAGCAAAGCACUAAGUCCAAACAAGAUACAUGUCAUCACUUAAAUAUCCAUAUUAUCCAAAGUAUCCACAUCAAUGUUUCAUCUAAAACACUUGCCAAUGUUACACAUCACAUAUGAUUUCACAGGUUUCAGUCGGGGCCGCGGCCGGCGGAGGCGGCGGCGUCGAGGCGGCCAGGCCGCACCCCCGGCAAUGCGGGCCAGGCGGCGGCAAGGCGGGGCCGCCGUAUCCGGAUCCGGCGGCCGGCUGCGGGGCCUGCGGGGCGAGGGGCUUCCCGCUCCUCCUCGUCCGUUGCGACCCCCCGCUCGUGUCCUUCUGCGACAUGGCGGCGGCGGCUAGGUUAGGGUUUCGGCGAGGGAGGCGAGGAGAAGGGCGGCAGCGAGGGAGGCGCGAGGGAGGGGAGGGGAGGCGAGGGAGAAGGGCAGCGGCAGCGGUGGCGCGAGAUUUGGGCAGCGCUUCGCCGUCGGGGAGGUCGAGGAAGCGCUGCUAGUCGAGGAGUACGCGCGCUUCAGAUACGAAAAUUUUCGCUAAGUCCUGCUCUGUGAUAUAUAUAGGGAACAUCACCAGUGGCGGGUAUUUCGUGGAUACCCGCCACUCGCGACUCUUCCUAGGGUUACUGGUAGAAGAGACCACCGGUGGCGGGUAUUUCCGGAUACCCCACCAUUGGUGACCCACCAGUGGCGGGUAUAUGAGAACCCCGCCACUGGUAAUUGGAACAACAGUGAGGGUUCACCACAUGCCUGUUGCACACACCAGUGGCGGUGAUAUUGUCUAUAUCCGCCACUGGUUAAUUUUUUGGCUCUAGUAUUAUAUUAUUAUAUUUUGUGUCUCUCUGAAAAUUAUGGCACCUGUACUUUUAAGUGUAUAAUAAUUAUUUCUUGUCUCACUAAAGAUUUCAAUGCUAAAUACAUUACUGAAAAUGAAAUAUUUAUGCUUUUGUAGUGUUUACUGUGGUUAAAAAUUGUUAUAAAUUACAAAAUUGCUGAGAAUGGUUUGAUAUUUGGCAUGGUGGCUUCUGACACAACAAUAUGCAUGUAUAUGAAGUUUGGUGUCAAAAUUCCAAAUGAAGCCCAUAAGAAUACCAUAUUGGGAUCAUCUAGGUAGAUAUCUCUGAUACCUUCUAAGCCAACAUCCAAAUUGUAACAUUAUAACAACUUUGGGCUUGAUUUUUUCCAUGUGACUUCAUUAGACCGAGAGGUGUUCCCAUGCCAAGUUUCAGCUCAUUUUGAUGAAAAUUGAAUUUUAUGGAAUUAAACUAGCACCAAAGCCACACAUAAUCACAGAAAUUUGUAUGAAAUACUAUGAAUUAAUGUCUAAAACUUGUAGUGGGACCAAAUAAUAUUACUAUACACCUAAAAGUACAACUGUUAUAUUUUUUGGGAACGCAGGGAAUAUAAUAGGAUUAUAAUAGUGCAUUCUGAAAUCAUUACCAGUGGCGGGUUUCAUACAACUCACCGCCACUGGUGAGUUGGAUAAGAUUUGGGAAAUCCCUAAGUCCUGUAGCAUUCACCAGUGGCGGGUUUAAGCGGAAUCAUCGCCACGGGAGCCCACUUCCGGUGGCGGGUUUCCCUGUAGUCACCGCUAGUGGCGGGUUCCUGUGACGUCACCGCCACUGGUGGUCUUCUGCGGGCUACCGCGCGAGGCGAGGUGGGAGUUUAGUCCCACCUCGCUAGUUUACAAGCGUUUCGACCAGCAUAAAUAGCUUCCUCCCCCUCACAUUGCAGAUUCCGAAUAAAAUCAAAUGCCGCUCUCUCGUCCACUCCCGUUCGCCUGGCCUGUGGGCCCGGUACCCUAUGUGUGUACUGGUGGGCUCGGAUUAUAGCCCUGUGGGCCCAUGCUCUUUUGGCCUAGUAGGUAGUAGGCAGCUCCCGGGUUCUCGCCUGGCUAGGCCCGAACCCGAAACAGCCUAGUUGACCGGGCGGGCUAAAAAAACUUUUUUGCCUCCUUUUCUGGUAGCACGCACGAGUGGCGGGUUUCACGACAAUCACCGCCACUGGUGCCCUCUUCUGGUGGUGGGUUUCCCUGUAAUCACCGCCACUGGUACCCCUUCCAGUGGCGGGUUUCAGGAAAUCACCGCCACCGGUGGCCUUCUGCGGGCUCCGCGAGAGGCGAGGUGGGAGUUUAGUCCCACCUCGCUAGUUUACAAGCGAUUCGAUCAGCAUAUAAGGCUUUCCUCGCUUCUUCCAUCAGCUUCCGAAUAUCACUCUCGCCUGUCUCCUCUGCUCCUCGCCUGGCCCGUGGGCCCGGUACCUGUACUGUUCUUUGUAGGCUUGGAUUACAGCCCCGUGGGCCUGGGUCCGCUCUGGCCUAGUAGGUAGUAGGCUGCUUCCGGGUUCGCCUGGCUAGGCCCAAACCCAAAAUGCUCAGAUGAUCCGGACGGGCUUAAAAACUUUUUUUUUCUCCUUUAUAAUGAAAAUAACAUGUAAUAAGAUUUUAAAAAAAAAAUCGAUAUCUCUUAAUUGUUUUUGAAAUCGAAACAAGCAAGUAAAAUAUGCAUACACAGUAGAAAAAUAUUGCGAACAAAUUUACGGCAUUUGUUUUCAAAUUUGAACAAGUUAAGAUUCGAACCUCGUUAGAAUUCAAAUUACAUUGAAAAUCAUCAACGGGCAUAAUUGAUCAAAAUUACACAAAUAGUGAACUAUUGGACAAUCUUGUCUUUCUUCUUUGUUGUCUUCUCUUUCCUCUUAUACGUUUGGACCUCAUCGUUGCUGCUUCUGGCGUAGGCCCGUCUUGUGUGGGUAAUUUUGACUUCUUUCUUGUCUGGAUCAUCCGUGUUGCCACCUCUUCUUCUUGCCUGGUCGUGGGAUCGAGGAAACCUUCAUAGUCUUGUUGUGAAGUUACUCCGUCGACCACAACAAUGCUCCUUUUACCUCUCCUCACAACUACGUGGUUUUUCGCUAUCGGGUCUUCUAUGAAGAAGACUUGUUUGCAUUUGGAAGCAAACUGCCAUGGUUCAAGCAGUGCCGAGAUUCUUUUGACGUUCACCUGAUGACGGGGAACCUCUUUUGACAGAAUCAUUGUUGUGAACCUAUGAUCUUCAUGCCUGACAUCGUGUGCCCAUCUGAUGCGAAACAUGGCGAUGGUGGUGAAGGUGUAUUCAAGCUCCCAGAUCUCUUUGACCACGCCGUAGUACGCUUCAGUCUGGUCUUCGUUGUCGGUCCCCGUCUCAGCUACGAGCACUAUACCGCUGUUUUGGUACGUACUCUUACGGUCUUGAUCCUUGGUGUAGUAUGUAUACCCGUUCAUUGCGUACGACUGGUAUGUCACGACGUUGCGGUCGGGAACCCGUGACAACUUCUAGACAAUCUUCUCAUCUUCAUUCACUGCAGCCCUCGGAUACCAAAGAUCCUUGAGCCACAUGGCGAAUGUAGAAUUGUGUUUUCGUUGGAUCCAAUCAUCAUUCCUAUUAGGGUUGAGGUUUCGAAGUUCUUCGAUGUGCAUGUCGAUGAACGGCUUGACCUCUAGCGUGAGUUGCAGCACCAUUGUGUGUGCUCUUAUAAAGUCGUCCAUUCUUUGGCGGGCAUGCACAUCAAGAUCCUUCCGGCCAAGCCCACCUUCACUUUCUAACUUCCCCUUAUGUCGUGAUUCGGGGACCCCUAUGGGUUUGUGGUCCUCCAACCAAUCAGUGCAGAACUCAACGCACUCUUCAUAGUGUAACAUCUCAAAAUUUCAAACUUUUACAUGUGCAUUGCAUCCAUGAGCAUCAUGCCAAAAUUGCAUAUUUGAAUUCAAAUUUUGAAUCUCAAAAGGCUUUAAAAGAUUUUGUUUACACCCAAUGAGCUUUGGAUUUUCAAACCAAUAGGGUUUAUUUAUAAAAAGGGUUUAUUGCACAUAUGAGCUAUCCCAUAAUUUUUGGGUAAUUCUUUGGAGUUGAAAAAGUAUUUUAUUUAAAUAGAUAUAUGGCCCUAAAGGUAUUUAUAGGGCAAAUGUAUUUUUUAUACAUUUUAUUUUGAAGAGAAACUACUUCCAAAAGUUGUAUCAUGGUAGAACAUGAUUUUACAAAUUUUCUGGAAUUUAUUUGGACCAAUUUGGAGUUCAAAAUCAAAAGAUAUCAAAGAAAUAAGAAAAACAGAAAAAGAAAAGGGCUAAAAGAAAAGAACAGAGAAAACCGGACCGGCCCGGCCACUUUGGGCCGAACCGGCCCAGAACCGACCGCGCCCGGCCGAACCGACCGGCCCGGUCCACGCGCGCACCCACACCGAGCCGCUGAUAGGCGGGGCCCGCCUGUCAGGGUCGUCUUCCUCGUAAGGAAGGCGCCCGCGCACCCCGCGCCGCCUGCCUUGUUCGCCGCCGCGCGCCGUCCCCGCCGCAAUCUCCUCUUCCGCCCUUCCUUUUGCAGCCCCGAGCGCGUCCUUUUAAGCCCCGCGACCCCCUCUCUUCUUCCCCUCUGCUCCCCCUCGCUAUCACGCCGCCAGGCCGCCCCGAUUUCUCGCCGUUGCUCGCCGGAGUCCGCCGCCGUCUCGAGCUCGUCACCGGAAACCGAAAGGUCGAGAGCCACCCUCGCCUACCCAUCUUCUUUCUCUCCUCCUCGCGCACACCAUGACUCGUGCCGUUUUUCGUUUUAGUGCCCUGCAGCUCGCCGACGACCGAGCCCGAAGCUCCGCCGCCGUCUAUCACCCGCCGCCAUGGCCACGUCGUCCUAGGCGCCGUUUCCGACACGCCCGCGCCCCGCCGCCGCCACCCGCGCCUCCGCCUCGACGAGCCGUGCGCGCCCGUGUUCUCCUUGCGCUGCCAGCCUCGCCGGAGCACGCUCGCCGCCGCCCGCCCGUGCCGCGCCGCCGCCGGAGCUUCCUCGCCGGAACCCUAGGUAAGCCGAGAGCCCCCGUCCGUCCGAUUUAGAUCGAUGGCUAGGAUUAGAUCACUUAUAAAACGAACCGGUACACACUGUGGAGCGUCCGAUCUUUAUAAGUUAGAUCUAACGGUUCGGAUUUAAUUAUAAACCCGAACCGGUACCGUUCAAUUAGAAAGCGCCACGUGUCCCCGAUUAAAAUGAAAAAUUAACCCCCGAUUUAAUUAAAAGGCACUUUUGCAGAAAAGCCCCUGUAACUUCAAAUGAUCAUAUCUUUUAAUCUGAUUGGCCAAAUUUAAUGAUCCACACCUUUUUGGAAUCCUUAGGAAAUUUAGAAUCACAUUCAAAUUACAGAUUAGGGUUUUAUGCCAUUUAAAUCAUAACUAAUUAUUUAGAAGUCCUUUUUGAAUGAAACUAGUGCCCAAAAAUUUGUUCUAUUGUCCUCUGUCCAAUGGGGCGGAGAAAUAAAUAUUUUGAAUUAAAUUGUUUUGCAGAUGCAAAUAAAACAUCAUUUUAGGGUUUAAACCCUAACCUUUGUUACUAGUUUAAAACCCAAAUUGCAUGUGCUUAAAUUAUUUUUGGUUUGGAUCAGUAGAUCACCCAAAUAAAAUAAACCAAGCUCUUGUCACAUGUUUUGCAUUGCAUCAUGGCAUACAUAUUCUUUUGUUUGUAUGGUGUGUUUAUGUAUGCAUUGUUUGUAUUGUUUAGUUUUUCUCGAAGAGCGAACUGUGUGAUUGCGAAGAGUGUUUGAAUAUACUAUCAAGGCAAGUUCACUUUGAUCAUUUACCUAUUAUUUUAUUAUGCACUAGUGUUUAUUAGUUGCAUUGUUAGGAUUAUUAUUGUAUCUAUGCUAGCUAUGAUCUCUCCUAGUAGUAUAGGACACGCUUGCCAUUUCCUCACCACGAAUUGCCAUCGUAGUAGUAAAAUGCUAUGCUAUGAUAAUAAACGAGGGCGGUAUUAUUACAAUGUGAUACUAUUGAAUUACAAAUAUAGUUUUCCUAGUGUAUGGCAAAACAAGUAAUUCAAUGAACCGUCCUGGGUGGGCUGCUUUGAGGAAGUGGAGAUGUAUGCGGCGUCAGGUCCAUUUCUAUGGGUCCAUUUCUAUGAGUCGUCUCGCCAUUUCUAUGGGAGCGUCUGCGUUGCAACCGAGGAAUGCCACCCAAGGUAUCAGAGACUGGACUAGUUUCCUGUUUAGUAGCUUCCAGUACAACCACAUGAUAUUAUGGGCUCUGCCAGGAUGGACGUAAGAAAUAUGAACCCGGAUCCGAGGUGACAUCGGUAUGUAGCAGUGUAGGUGGGGGCGCGUCCCUGAGGUGGUCUGGGGGAUUAUGUUCUGAAAAUUCCUGUAGUCGAUGCCGUUGCUACUCUACCCUGAGGACAGCAAGGGAUUAACACGUCGAUUUCUUGUGGGUAAAGUGUACCACCUCUCGAGAGUGUCAAACUAAGUACUUAGCCGUGUGUCCGGUUACAGACAAUUAUGAGCAACUAGAUAUUGGGCUGUAUGGAAGGUCUCACUCAUUCCAAUUUCAUAAUAAAACGAAUGGAUUGAACUGGGUAUGAGCAUUGAUGUUUCUACUCAAUGUGCCUAGGUUAAUAGGAGCAUGGGUGUUUCUACCCCAUGUCCAAUAGAAUUCAAAACUAUUUGUUUCAAAAUGAUAGGAUUGAACUAUGAUACUUUUAUGAAAACAGCCAAACUCCACAUAGCCAAAUUAUGAUGUACUUGGUAGGUCCUUUAUAACUCUAGUGAACUUGCCAAUACAUUCAAAUGUAUUGACCACGUAGUGGCUGCAAUUAACAAUGCAGGUGGAUCUGACGAUGAGUGAGGUUCGUCGUUAUGUUGUGGGUCAUGUGCUUACAUUCCAACAUGCUCUCACCUUGGAGUAGUGUGGCCCUUAUGUUCUACCCUUUUCCGCUGCAGUUUUCGAAACAUUGUUUUAUGAUGAUGAAACAAUAUUUGUUUUUGUGAAAUCAUAUGUGAUGUGUAACAUUGGCAAGUGUUUUAGAUGAAACAUUGAUGUGGAUACUUUGGAUAAUAUGGAUAUUUAAGUGAUGACAUGUAUCUUGUUUGGACUUAGUGCUUUGCUAGUGGUGUGCUGAUCCAUUAGUUUCUUAUGUGAAAACAUGGCGUGAGUUGUGUGGAACUUACCCUGAGUCAAGUCGUGGACUUGUGCUCGUACUGGUUAUUUGUGUGUUCGCUUUCAGGUGUUGCCGGAGCUAGAGGAACGUGGUCGAUGACGGGAUCGAGGGACGAAGCUUGGGAGAAGCUGAGGUCGAGGAUUAAGGUCAUGCGAGACGUUUGUGCGAAGGAACAAUGGAAGUGAAGGCUACGAUGAUUCGGAAGGACACCGGUUUGUCGUAUGUUGUUUAUACCGGAGAUGUACGGUAUUGGAGAUAUUCGAUACGUGAUGGUCGAGUUUUGAAGACAUCACAAGAAGAGUUGAUGGCAUGAAGUGACAUCGAGGUGAAGAUAUGUAGGUCCAACCGUGGCUGGAUGAGAGCUGUUUAAAGAUUAAACAGUAGCGUCAUCAAGAUGGCGUCGGAUGGAAAAGUGAUCCACAUGAAAGUUGUGCGCGUGGUCGAGACGAACAACUUUGCUUUUGGAGUCAUCUCAAUCCGAGGUCGUAUGCGGGCCCCACGGGCAAAAUACUGACCGGGACAGAGGAGUCCGUGUUGGAUUCGGAUUCGGUUUAGGGUUGCGAAUUUUCCCUUAUAAAUAGAGGACAUCCUAGCUAGGAUUUUAGCAAGGAUGUGAGAGAACUCAAAGCUUUGGAUCUAGAUCAAUUCUUGAAGAGUUCUUGGAUGCAUGGUUCCGUCUUUUGUAAUCGAUCGACAUCGUUGCAAUAAAGAGAUUCAUUGCCGGUGUCAUCUCUGUUCUUCUCGGAUCUUCGUGAAAUCUUCGUGCUAGAUCUUUCUAAUACUUUGGUGCAUGUUCAUCACAAGUUCAUAAUACUUUGCUGCAGGUUUAUCACGAGAUCAAGAGAAGAUUGCGAUUAAUUCAUCUUUCUUGUUAUUCCUCGAAAUUGGUUUUAGAUUAAUCCUCGUAACUUUCUGUCAGCUGUUACUAUUUUGAUCAUAUCUUUUGAUUGGUAAGUACGAUUGAGCUGAUUCUUGUUGCAUUGGUUAGAUAAUUUUAAUACCUUUCUUUUCCAUACUCAUACGUAUUUUUUGGUUCAUCUAAUCAAAAGUUACGGCUGUUUUACUAUCACGGACAGAAAGGUGAUUUAGGGUUUAAACUUUCGGGAAAAGUUUUAAUUUGUUUCCGCGCAAUCAUUCACCCCCCCUCUGAUUGCCUAUCUCGAUCUCACAGUUUUAUGCUGGCCCAAGAGGUCAUGCGAGGUUGUAAGUACUAUUUAAAUUCUGGAUGAUGCGAUGUAAUAAAGUACUUUUGACUUUUGUUUCUAUAUAUUUCAUCAUGAAACUGUGUGUGCUAGUGAGUCGAUCCAGGGACUAGCACAGUAAGCACAGAGAUCGAACCCUAGUAAGGGGGAGGAUCGCUUCACAUAGCCUUCCAUGAUGCUUCCUUCGGGACGCCCUCUGUUACAAACAUAUCACUUCAGCACCCCGUUGUAUCGUUCGGGCCCAAACAUGUUGUGCAGGAAUGAUGGCCCUAACAAUAAGAUCUCAUCAGCGACAUGGACCAUCAGAUGGACCAUAAUGUCGAAGAACGUUGGGGGAAAGAACAUCUCACAUUCGCACAAUAUAUGUAUCAUUGCGUCCCUCAGUUGCAGGCAACGAUCCACUGUGAUGAACUUCUGGCCGAUCGUGUCGAAGAAGUCACAAAGCUUCAUGACCGUCUCUCUCACCCAUGGCUCCAUGCAGCCUCUUAUUGCAACCGGAAGUAGCUGCGUGAGAAUCACGUGGCGGUCAUGAGACUUCAUGCCAACCAGCUUGUGGCUCUUCAUGUCAACGAGUUUCUUGAUGCUGAAUGAGUAGUUCAAUGGAACUUUGAUGCCAUGGAGACACUCGCACAUUCUAUGACACGCAGGUUUGCAUCGCGUAUAUAUCAUGCGUUCACCAUCCUUAUUUUCCUGCGGCGCCUCUUCCUCUAUCGGCUUUCUCCCUUAUCCCCAUCCACUACAGGUCCUUCCGUACCUUUGGUCCAUCUUUUGACUUGUCCGCGUGCUGCAUCAUCAAGCCCAACAGGCUGUCGCACACGUUCUUCUCGACAUGCAUGACGUCUAUGGUGUGACGGCUCUAUAAGAACCUCCAGUAAGGCAGGUCCCAGAACACGGACCUCCUCUUGUACGUAAGGCCGCAUCUGGACCUGCAGCCGGCUGUGCUUUCCCGGCCACGACUUCGAGGUCCCUGACAAUUUCGUAUACUUCGUGUCCAGUCAGUUCCCUCGGUUUGUGCCGCCUCUCUGCCCCCCCGUUGAAGUUUUUCGUAUCAUCCCUCCAUGGGUCCUUCAUCUCCAGCCACAUACGGUGUCCCAUGUACACAAUCUUUUUUGAUUCUGGCAGGAACAACCCUUCUGUCUCGUCCCCGCACUUUGUGCACGCUUUGUACUGGCACGAUGAGUUCCCGUUCGGUGGGUAGUGAUGCACACAUGUCAGGAGAGCUGCUCGAAGGGUGAAUUCCUCCUUCUUAUGAGCGUCCCAAAUCUUUCGACCCUUCUCCCAAAGCUCCUUGAGCUCAUCCUUCAGCAGCUCCAGAUACACAUUCAGAUCAGCUCUAGGCUGCUUAGGGCCCUGUAUGAGCAUUGAUAGGUGGAUGUAGUUCCUCUUCAUGACAAGCCACGAGGGGAAGUUGUAUAUGAGCAGGAUCACCGGCCAUGUGCUGUGUUUGCUGCUCAAUUUUUCGAACGGAUUGAUCCCGUCCGUACUCAUCCUGAACCUGAUGUUCCUGGGCUCUGUGCCGAACUCGGGGAAUUCCUCGUCCAGGGUCCUCCAUUGAGCCGCAUCUGCGGGGUGUCUAAGGACUCCAUCAUCGUUGCGGUACACGCCCUCAGGAUCGAUAUCCGCCUGAGUCGCGUCGUGGUAGAUGAACCACCUGGCCUCCUUCUCGUUCUAGAACAAACGCUCCAGCCUGGUGCCACACGGAAGAUACCAUACCGUCUUUGCCGCCGCACCACGCUUCAAUUCUUCCUCCUUGCCGCCGUCAGGAUUGGGGUCUUUCUUCUUGUAUCGGGAUGUUUUUGCAUACUGGACAGCUGUGCAUGUCUUUGUAGUCGCCCUUAUAUAUGAUGCAGUCCAGCGGACAAGCAUGGUACCCGAGGGGGCAUGUAACUUUCUUUGCCUCGUACGUGCUCUUAGGCAACUUGUUGCCCGGAGGAAGUACCGUACGUAGGUAACUAAGAAUCUCCGUGAAUCCCGAGUCCACGAUGUUGUAUUUUGCCUUUAUACGCAAAAGCUCGAGCGUUACUUCUAGCACACUGUUAUCCACGCUGACAUUUUCAUAUAACGGUGUCUCGGCAUCCUCCCUCAGCUUCUCGAACUUACGGGACACCCUCUCAUCCUCAGGGUCAUCCAACUGAUUCUGCAGAUGCUGAUCGUCCAGCAUUUCAACCAUCCUACCGGUUGGAACGUCAUGUACUGGAUCCUCGCCACGAUAUGCUUCUUCACCAGGCUGGUCGUCAGACUCCAUGUUUUCCAUCUCAAUGCCGUCAUCGACUCCAAUGCCACCCUCCCCGUGAGAAGUCCACCUUGAAUAACCAGACACAAAUCCCCGCAUGAGCAAGUGCAUCUCGACAUCCUCUGGCUCGUACAGCUUGCUGUUCCGACAUCUCACACAGGGACAACACAUCUUAUCACCCCCUUUCCUAUGCAUAGCUUCCACGCCGGCAUCGACAAAAGUCUUCAGCCGCUCUAUCCACUCAACACGUAACCUGUCCUCGUACAUCCAAGCACGGCCCAUCGAGCUACAACACAAUUUUUUUAAAAAAUAAACAAAUCAGCUUGAUCGACAAAAAUGGAAAAUUUCGGCAUGACCUUUGCUAAAAAAAAAUAGCAUUUUGCACUACGAAAUUCCAUGCCUGCAUCAAAAACAAAUUACCCCCACCCACAUCGGCACGACGGCCGGUAUCACAUCACAUAAGAAAUACACGGCACGAAGGCCGGUGUCAACACACAUUUAAUAUGUUUAAACAUGCACGUACACCGGUCCCGAGGUUAAGCUUAACCCUAGGGCUAAUCCCUAGGGGCUAAGCUCCCCCAUAAGCAGCUACAGAGAGAGCUGCAGAGAGAGAGAGAGAGAGAGCUAUAGAGAGAGAGCUGCAGAGAGGGAGAGAGAGCUUGAGAGAGAGAGCUAGAGAGAGAGGGAGCUCAUCGGAGCAAAAUUAAAGCCAAGAGAGGGAAAUCCGGGGGGAGGGCAGAGCUAUGCUGCGGGGGAGCCACGGAUAGAGCGGGGGCAGACCGAGGGAGCCGCUACAGAGAGAUCGGGGCCGAAUUUCCCACCAACGGCCAAGGAGCCAUUAAUGGCGAUUUAACAAAAUUGGAGAAGAAUAGGAGGAGAAAGAAGGGAGAGGAAGAGGGAGGAGAAGGGGGGAGAGCUACCUUCCGGCCGCCGCCAUCAAUUUUGGCAGGGCUUCGCCGCCGGUGAGGAGCAGAGCCGCAGUUGGUCCAAGACAGACGCGCGAGUUCGAACAGCUUCAGGCUCGCACAGUACUUAUAUAUAGGAAGGUCACCAGUGGCCGGUGUACGGAUAAACCGCCACUGGCGACCUCCAGCUGCGGGCGGAAAAAUAAACCGCCACAGGAGGCCUCACCAGUGGCGGGUAACCUUAGGCCCGCCGCUGGUGCUCUCCCACCAGUUUUCCCUCUUUAGUCCCACCUCGCUAGUUUACAUGAGUUUCGACCAGCAUAAAAGGGAUUUCGCCGCCCCACUUACCGGUGGUUACUACUCAGUGCUCAGUGCGUUCCCCGCUCCGGUUGAGUUCUAAACAAGUGAUCUGGGGUGCUUAAGGGGUUCAGGAAAGGUCACUGAGACUGAGUAGUACCAUCAUGUAUCAGGUGGUCUACCAAUGGCGGUUCUUUUAUUCGCCCGCCACUGGUGCUCUUGCAGUAUGCAAUUUUGAGGUUUAAUCCCACCUCGGUUCUUUACGUACGGCCUUCCCAGCAUAAAAAGGCUUCAACUGCACCUCUUAUCGAUCAUUGAUACCGAGUCGUCGGUGUCUUCCCGUUCCGUUGGAGCUGCAGCGGUUGACGAAAUAUACUGACGACUGGGUAUUGUGAUCACCUAUGGUGAUCACCUAUCUGUGGCGGUUCUUUUGGACGCCCGUCAUUGGUAGCUGUUAGGGUUUCCAUGGGCAGCGCCAGUGGCGGUGGUUAUCACCGUCACUGAUGAUGGACCACCAGUGGCGGUGACUUGUUUCAGGACAAUAUUCACCGCCACUGGUGGUGAGGCACCAGUGGCGGUGAUUAUCACUUACCGCCUCGAGAGGCCUCCUCCAGUGGUGGUGUGUUUUUUGGUCCGUUUUAACACUACAAGAGAACUCAUAUACUGUGACGAAAACCCUCAUGACAAUGGCUGGAAGUGUCACUGAAACACGUAAUGGGUGACGCUUUACACCUACCGCCUUGUAUUCGUAUAAAUCAGUGACACUCAGAGAAUCACCGUCACACAUUUCUCUAUUUUGUGACGUUGUGAUACCUUCCAUGACAAACGUGGUAGCGUCUCGGAUGAUUUGAAUUGGUGACGCUCGUAUUUCGUCAUGUAAUAUCUAUUGGAGGAUCCAUGGUUACGGGUCCAGCGCUGUUAAUAAAUAGGUUAGCCUUUAGUAAUAGAUUGUGAUUUCGGUAUUGGGUUUGUGGCUAGGACGUCAAUCUAGCCUAUGCCCCAUCUCGGGUUCGAGUCCGAACAACCACCCUUUUACCAUAUUUAUUGACUGUUGCUGUCAAAAAUUAAAAGCUACCCGAUCUGAAAAAAUCAUACAAAAUUAAAAGGCACACUGCGAGUCGAACUCGCGACCUCAAAGGUCCCAUGAUACAAGACGCCACUCUGCUACACAGCACGUUGUUGUCUUUUAAUUAGUGCAAAGUAUUUUAAUAUUUGUACCCAGGUUAGGCAUUAGACGUAUCGAAUCAAACCAGAAUCACGCAGCAGCACGUAUCGGGAGGAGAGUCGGGGACGAUCCGCUCGAUUAGAGGAACACGCAGGCCAGGUCAAUAGGCCGAUCUCCUAGGCCAUCCUCGGCAGAAGCAGCAGGCGCCAGGCGGGCUCCUGAUUAUUCACCGAUUCUCUUCGGUGGAACGUUGAUCUCGUCUGCAAACAGAAGGCGAUUUUCUGCAAGUUGAUGUAAUUUCGUGCUUGGCCGCAGGACCGCAGCAGCACACCAAGGUUAACUCCCGAUUCACGUACUGCCUCUCGGGUGCAAGUGCACGGAAGGGGAUUGUUGCACGUUGAUCUUUUUGACCAGACGCUGAUUGCUGCAUGUUGAUCUCGCUGUGGUCUCGUAGGUACAUCUUGGUGUUCGCUAAGAGAGGCUCGGGGCGAACCACGGCACGAUGGAGAUCUUGGCUGCGAUGUGGCCAGCCAUCUUCAUCCGGCUCGGUACGUCUUGAAGCCGUAAUUUUAGGAGGAUGAGAAUUAGCUUGAAGUAAAUCUUCAUGGUCUUUUGCGGAUUUUUUUGAUUAGUUUCAUUAAAAGAUUUAUUAGUGAACAUGAAAAAGUAUUAUGGACACGAAUAAAUAGAUUAACCUUGAAACAACAACAAUUAAUUAUUUUAUGCUUAAUAGUGAUUUUGGUAGUGGGGUUAGUACAAUAGUACAAUCUGUUUAAUGUGGAGAUUUUGUAAGCAUAUUUUUCUUAUAAGUAAAUUAAUUUCUUGUAGAAGAAUGGACCGAAGUUGGAUACACGGAACUCGUUUCUCGACACAAUUUUUGAAAGGUGUUGAUGAGUUUAUGGCUGUUGUUCGGAAGAAUUUCAGGAAAAAUCAAGGCAUAUUAUGCCCAUGCCAGAACUGCCUGAAUCUGCAACACCAUAGCCAGUCACUUGUGGAGGAGCACGUACAGUGCAAUGGUAUGUCCGUCACAUACACGAGGUGGAUCUUUCAUGGCGAAUCGUUAAGUGAUGAUGAAGGAGAUAACAUGGAGGAUACUGCAUAUAUGUCUGACGACAAUGAUGACUUUCAUGAAGACAAUCGAGGUGAUGUUCCGUAUAUGGUAGAUGAUCUGGCCAGGUCUGGAAGGCGAGGUGAGGGUCAGCCAAAUCUCUAUUCCAAGCUAAUUGAGGAAGCCAAGAAAGAACUUUACGAGGGAUGCAGCGACUUCACACGGCUAUCAUUCAUUAUUAAGCUCCUCCAUGUCAAAUCAUACAACCGGAUUACAAAUAGAGGAUUCAAUGCAAUUCUUGAGCUGAUCAGUGCGGCGUUUCCACAUGCUGACAUACCAAAAUCAUACACAGCGGCCAAGAGUGUUCUUCAGGAAGUUGGGCUUGGUUAUGAGACUAUUCAUGUCUGCAAGUUUGAUUGUGCAUUAUUUUGGGGGAUCUAUGCCAACAACACCCAUUGUCCUGAGUGCGGGACAUCAAGAUGGAAAGACAUGGAGAGAAAUAAAAAGGUACCUCACAAGGUUCUUAGGUACUUUCCUAUAAUCCCUAGGCUUCAAAGAUUUUUUGUGUCAAAGGAAGAUUCAACAAAUGCAAGGUGGCACAAGGAGAAGAGGUUUCCUGAGGCAAACAUUAUGAGACACCCUGCGGAUGGUGAAGCCUGGAAGCACUUUGACCGUGAGUUUGCAUGGUUUGCUGAAGAUGCCCGUAACAUUAAGCUUGGUAUUGCCACGGACGGAUUUAACCCAUUUGGAAACAUGAGUAAUUCAUACAGUAUGUGACCUGUUUUUGUAAUCCCAUAUAACUUCCCACCAUGGAUGUGCAUGGACCAAUCCAAUUUCAUGUUGUCUUUGCUUAUUCCUGGAAGAAAAGCACCUGGAAAGGAGUUCCAUGUAUUUAUGCAGCCGCUGAUUACAGAUAUGAUGAAGCUUUGGGGAACCGGUGUGGAAACGUAUGAUGCAUUGACAGAGGAUUCAUUUACUUUGCAUGCUGCAUUCUUGUGGUCGAUUCAUGAUUACCCAGGACUGGCCACUUUAUCAGGACGUAGCACAAGAGGCUAUUAUGCAUGUGUGCAUUGUGAUGAGAACCCUUGCUCCAUGCCUUUGAAACAUAAGAUUGGGUAUACCGGGCAUCGCAGAUUUCUGCCUACUAAUCAUCGUUUUAGAAAAAGCAAAGAUUUCAACGGGUCGAUUGAGACACGAGAGAAACCUCGAAAGUUCACAAAUGAUGAAGUGUUGGAAAAGUUAGAGAAAGUUAAGAAUUUCAAACCAGGGAAGUAUCCAGGAAAUAAGAAGAGAAAGCGCACUCAGAAAGAUGAACCAAACUGGAGUCAGAAGGUGAGCUUAUAUGAUCUGCCAUAUUGGUCAAAACUGAAAUUACCAUACAACAUUGAUGUAACGCACGUUGAGAAGAACAUAUGUGACAAUAUACUUGGGACUAUAUUGGAGAUUCAGGGAAAGAAUAAGGAUACAGAUAAUGCCAGGAUAGAUUUGCAAAACUUAGGAAUCAGGGAAGACCUGCACUUGAAACCUGAUGGAAAGGGUGGGAUGGUGAAGAGAAAAGCAGAGUAUAAUCUUACCAAGGAAAACAAGAAAAGAUUCUGCGAGUAUUUAGCUAAUGUGAAAUUUCCAGAUGGGUAUGCUGCUAAUCUAGCCAGAUGUGUGGAUCUUGAAACAUGUAAAGUGUAUGGGUUGAAGACCCAUGACUGCCACAUAUUACUGCAACAAGUAAUACCUGCUGCACUCAGAGGGCUUGUGAGGAAAGACAUAUAUGAGGCCAUUGCUGAACUGGGACAUUUUUUCAGACAGUUGUGCUCUAAAACUCUUAGACUUGAUGUGCUUCAUCGGAUGAAGGAUGAUAUUCCUGUAAUUCUUAGCAAGCUUGAGAGGAUUUUUCCACCCGCCUUCUUUGAUGUCAUGGUUCAUUUAGCUGUUCACCUACCCGAAGAGGCGAUUCUGAGGGGGCCCGUGCAUUAUGGAUGGAUGUAUCCAAUAGAAAGAAGGCUUGGGUACCUAAAGGGAACUGUUCGUAACAGAGCAAAGCCAGAAGGUCAGUUGCGGAGGCAUAUGUGGUUGAUGAGUGCUUGACUUACUGCUCUAGAUUUCUAACUAAUAUUGAGACAAGAUUUAACAAAGGAGAUAGGAACAAGGAUGGGAAGAGGGUUGCUUGUCCUGAUGAGUUGAGAGUUUUUUCAACUGCUGCAAAAGGUUUUGGGAAGGCCGAACUCAAAUAUUAUGAUAGUGAGUACGAUCAGCUGGUUUGGUACGUGCUUAAUAAUUGUCUUGAAGUAGAGGAUUACAUGGAGUAAGUUUCCCUGUCAUCAUUAUGCAUAGUACGUGGUUGUCUAUUUCAGUCGAUAAAUGCUGAUGUGUUAAUUUUCCAUUUGUUGUUUUAGUGUUUGUCGUGAAGAAUUACAAAGGAAAGGUGUGAUUAGAAUUGAGCAAACACUUAAGAAGGAAUUCGCAACAUGGUUUGAGAAGCAUGUAAGUUAUUUAGUUUUCUUGUGUGUUAUAUCCAUCUUGAAUUAAUGAUGUCAUUAGCCUGACCAUUUAACUGAUGUGUGCACACCUUGUGACAGAUUCAUCAUUUAGGAGAGCAGAAUGUUUCAGAGGAUCUGUACUCACUAGCAUGUGGCCCAGACAAGCGUUUACAAGUGUAUUCUGCCUGCAACGUGAAUGGUGUUCGGUACCACGCUCUGGAUCGUGAGAAGAGGAGAAGAACUCAAAAUUCAGGCAUCAUGGUGAAGGCAGAUGACAAUGGCGCAGAGGUUGUGUACUAUGGUGUUUUGAAAGAAGUUCUUGAGUUGAUGUACCCGAAAAACAAGCAUGGAGAAAGGUCAAUCUUCAUGUUUCGUUGUGAUUGGUAUGAUAUUACAAGCAAGGCGACCGGGUUGAGAGAUGAUGGGUACUUCAAAAGUCUGAAUCAUAAGGCAAUUCGGUACAAGAAUGAUCCCUUCAUAUUGGCUUAUCAAGCAGAUCAAGUGUUUUACAUGGAGGACACAUGUCUUGGAAAAGACUGGAAAGUGGUGCAGACUUUCAGUCAUAGACAUUUGUAUGAUGUUCCUGAAUUAGAGACAGGUGACCUCAAUGCUGAAGAUGCAUACCAAGAAGAUAUGACAUCGGAAACUUUCACUGUGCACGAUGCUGAUCCGUUGUUUCACACUUUUGGCCGUGAUGAUGAAGAAGGCACGACUGUUGAUCCUAAAAUUGUUGCGGGGACUGAGAAUAAUGAUGAGAACUAUGACGAAGAUAGUGGUACUGACAAUGAUGAACAUGAUGACGAUGCGUUCAGUGAUCAUUCAAGUGAUGAUGAAGUUUAGCAUGUUUUCAGAUGUUUCUAUAUUUCCUUUUUCUUUUUUCUACACAUUCUUCUUUUUGUUUCCAUUGAUUCCAGAUUCACAACUCUGUUUGUUAGCUUGUAAUAAUUUCUGAGAUAAGACUUAGAUUCCUAUGUUUUCUGUGAUGAUUGUGAUAGUUUCUGAGAAGUGAACUCAGCGUAAUCCAUUUUUUGAUAGAUACUCAGAAAAACAUGGAUGUAACUCAGAAUCCUAUUUUAUGCAUUUAAAAUCAGCAUCCUUUAUAUCGUUGUGUCUACUGGUUGUAUGAUAUGAAGUGUAUAUGUGUUGAACUGCACGUAUGGUGUCAAAAUCAAGCCUGGAGUGCACAUAUGGUGUCAAAAUCAACCAUGCAGUGGAUACAUAUAUGCUGUCUGAAACCAACCAUGAAGUGCAUAACAGCUGUGAGCAGCUAGUGGAUAUAUCCAGGGGCACAAAAUUGUAUCACUUGCAUUUGCAUAUAUUUCAUAACUGUAACUUGCAUACAUACACUUACAUUUCUUCGCAAACAGGAAGAAUUUUCUGGAACAAAAUGAGAUACACCACUCAUUGCUAGUAUUAGAACUCGUACAAGCAUUUGGUUGGGUCAUCUCUGCCAUCUCAGAAUUCCUACUGUCAUCUCUACAUUUCCUACUAACUAUUACAAGAACAUUAACUCAUACAAGCCGACACACAUGUCAUCUCCAUCUACGGUCCCAAUAGACCGGCGAUGCAGCUCUUUGGGGUAGAAGCUGGAGGAAGACACCGCCGGCAAUGCAGCUCUUUGGAGAAGAAGCUGGAGGAAGACACCACCAGUGAUUCAUCAAACAUGGGUCGACAAGGCUCUCUGCAUAUUACAUUACAAAUCAACAUUUAGCUUCGAGAGUCUUGUUGUGCAUCCAGAGUUGCAAUGAAAUUAAAAAAAUUAAAUCAUAAAGAAACACCCUUAGGGUCAUGCUAUAACAUGUACACAUAUGUAAAGAAAACCUAUUUGCCUAGAAUAGGAGAAGAGUAAACUACAUUGCUGAGAAAUGACUUAACCAACUACGGAGUAUAUACCAUGCCAUCAUUUGUUCCAGCCAAAAUUGUAUGCAGAAGAGUUGUAACUCAACCACCUAUUUUUCUCUUCUUCUACUCUCCCUCUGAACUCUCUCCUUAUUUUUUUUUGACAAAUAGAGGACACUCCCUCUGGUUUCAUUAAAGGAAACCAUGUGUCUGUUAAUACAACUUAAAUAUCGAGCAACAAACCCAGAAACAAAAGCGUCGAGCUAGUCUCGACCACUUUUGCUCUAUAAAACUAGGCAGCAGCAACAACUACUACCCUCCACACACUCAACACCUGACACCAGUUUGGGAAUUCAGGACGAAGUUGAUGAUGAUCUCAGGCAUAGAAACCUCCGCAGACUCUAAAGCCUCAAGAUGUCAGCGGAAGAGUAACUGGCGCCCACUCUUUUUUGUGCUCGACUGAAAACUUCAACCAUGUCUUGCCAUAGCCGCCACAAACAACAUUGCAGAAGUUCCUUGGAUGUGUUUCUCUGCAAACCAGCCCAAGAAACAAUAGAACAAGUGACAAACAAAACAGUUGCUGGAUCAUUUGGCCAAAACUAUGGAAACAAGCAUUGUCCCUAGUUUUCCACAUAAUCCAAAAAACAGCUGCAACUCCAACCAACACCAGAUUUCCUUCUUGCUUGCUACAAAACAGUAAGCCAUUCAUGGAAACAACUCCUGAACUGAGCAAACAGUGAGAAGAAAACCAAAGCUACAUUACACUAAGGGCUAAACAUAAUGAGCUUUCGAACAAGAGAAUUAAAGAUUAAUACUCUCCUUCCUUGAGGCAAAAAGGACAGUGAACAUCGCCGUCCCACACACCCUGGAUGGAGGUCAGCACAACGCAGGUUAAAAAACUACCACUACUCACUAAGCACAAGAAAAUCCUAAUUUUUUAAUGGCAGUUUGACAAUCCACAUGCAUAAACAUUUGAAGGAAAUGAACGUUGAGAUAUUCUCAGUGCCCUGUACAAAGAGCCAACUGAAAAACUAUCUCUAGCGUCCAAAUCCUAAAAUAGCUGAUCCAUCCUGUCAGAAAAAUACAUUAAACCACACAAUCGCUUCAAACUCUCAUUGCUGAAGAGAUUCUCUAAACAGAGUUCUCCUACAAGGAAAAAACCAUCCAGCAGCUAAGACUCCAGCACAAUCUAACUCAGAUUCCAAUAGACAAAGAUAUCAUCUGCAUAUUUGCAAAAUGACAUAGCCUAAAGAAAACUGAAGAAAGAUCAAACCUCAUCACUUCGGACAAACAACAACUAAACUAAGAACAAAUACGGACCUAGAUCCUAUUUGGUGAGCUACCAUUAGGUGAGGAUCGAUACAAAUACGGACCUAGAAAUUGUAGGAUGAAGUUUUGCAUUGGGAGUUUGGGACAUCUUCGACGGCGGUGAUCCGGGGCAGGGCUGUGACGGCAGCUGGCCGGGGACGGUCGCUGGACGGGGCGACGGCGGCACGCCGGGGCUUCGACGGCGGCGCGCGAGGCGGGGGCCUUGGGGGCCGGUGCAGUGGGGCGUUGGCGGGCGGAGGCCUUGGAGGGGGGACUAGAUCGGGACGGCCGGACGAGAUCGGGAGGGCAGGACGGGAGGUAGAUCGGGAGAGAGAGGAGGGUGCUGGGACGGUCGGAUGAGGAAACUUCAAUCUUUUUCUUUUUUUGGAGAGUAGGAAACUCGAAUGAUCUGAUGACAGGAAAAGCUACUUUAUGAAUAACCAUUGCAAAAGCAUAUGACAUUUUCUGGACCUAAGGUCAAAAGAGCUAGAUAAAAUCUAAAUAUAAUACCAAGUAAUUAUCACCGUAAGACAUUUUUCCCUUUUUGUGGAUUUUUUUUUCUACUUUUGAAUGGCUAAAAUACCAAAUUGUGGCCUAUUCGAUUAGAAGUAAAAGCACUGUACAAGGGGGACCAAGGAGAUCCCCGGGUGAUGCGGGGGGUCAAGCAAAAGAAAAAACCCUGCCUGGAGCAGGGCCUAUCCUCCUGGGUCCAGCGAGCACGUCCUAACCCUACCCUGGUAGUCCUCCCAGAUCAAAUAGGCCACGUGAAGCAUGGACGAGGCUCGAAUGAUCCUCCUAUUGCACUCCUCCCAAAUCCUCCACCAAGUGUAGAUGAGAUGGACGCUCAAGUUUCUUUUCUCUCGCUCAGGGAGACCACGAAUGGCCCCAUCCCAAAGCUCGUUGAUGGAGUCGCACGACGGAAUUUAACAAACAAAAGCAAAUCAUGAAUUUUAGCAGAACUUCUAACAAUUUCUACUAGUAGCUACACUAUUAAAAUCGAUGGAUCAGUUGUACUGACUCAACAAAAUAUAUCAUUGAAGAGAGACUAUCUAGUAUUAAUUCGGUUAACCAAUGACGAUAAGCGAUUUAAUCACUUAGCCACCGAUAUUUGAAUCGGUUGAUUCGGUUUCUGUUUUUUACGCCCGCCCCUACUUGGCCCGCCCCUACUUGUCCCCUAGUUGUGCAAGAUGACGGUUGUAAACUCAAAUUUGUUCAUUCUUAAUCAUGCUAUCUGAUGUGUCUGUACUGAUGUAAUAUAAGACAGUCAAAUUUAUAUAGUAUACAUGCGCAAUUUUAUUACCGAGUUUGGUUAAGGACUCGUUAUGUUAGUCAUAUCUUAUUAUUUAUGUAACAACUAGACUAACUAAAAAAACUAUAUAAUAUUCUGAAGUCAUUUCCUAUUUGUUGAAAUUAAAUGUAUUUUUUGAAAGAAUUUUCUCUCCAUCCAAAACUUAUUCCCUCCACUUUUCUCAAAAAAUUUCGGUGUCCACCCGAAAUACCACUUUCCCUCCGCUGAAAAAUUAGUUUUCCCUCCAUUAAUCCCGAACCCAACGCGCCAGCACCUCCUGAUUAAACCACCACGAGUCACCACCUCCUCCCCCAUUUUUUCUGCUCGUCUCCAGGAUUUUCUCCAGCGACCAGAUCGGAGGAGGCGGCCUCCGAUCCACCAGCCACCCCAGUCCGCUACAACGGGGCCGCCCGCCUCCACUGCCGGAUCGGAGCCGCCCCGCCACAUCUACCCGAAGGGCGCCGCCCCCGCCGCGCUCGCCUGAACGCCGCCGCCUCACCCGCGAGAACGCCUCCGGCCGCCUACCCUUCAACCACAGCGCGACUCGGUUUCUGCCUUUUCUUCCCUUCUCCUCCCCUCUGUCUUCUGUUUGUGUCCUUUUUUUUUUGCGAAGACUGCUGCUUGUCUCCCUGUACCAUAUGCAACCGCAAUGAGAUGUUAGAUGGAUCUAUGUGGAUUUGGGAUAUAGAUUGGGGUUUUCUCUUUCUCUGGGCUGUGUGAUUCAUGUACGCAUAUGCCUUUCAAUGAAGAAAAAAAUCUGGAGUUGUAACGAGCCCGAUCCAUGAACUCUAGAAUUUCCUCUUCUUUUUUUAAUUUAGCAAAACUCUCGAAUUUCACAUGUAUCCCUUCUCGGGUUUUCUAUCUUGUUUCUUGCUCUGAAUAGCAUCAAGUAUCUUAACAUUCAUUCUGGUAUACUCGCAAUUACACUUGCUUAUGUACUCAAGACCAUGACGUGCUGCUGGAUAUUGGGAAAGAAACCAGACCACCACAAAAAACUGUCUUUGAAAGGGUUGACCUGUUUGGUUGACAUAUUAAUAGGAAUGAGUUCACUUUUAUUAUAGUUUAUCCUCGUACUUGAGACUUGCUCAAAUCAUGAAUUGAAGUGUGCUAUUCUCUUGUGUGUGUUUUCUGGCCAGAUUAUACUUAUAUGUAAUCAAUGGGCUGGCUGUCUAAUUGGUAUGGAGCAUGUUUUAUUCUCGUGUACAUAUAAAGUGCUCAAAUCACUGCAGCACCAUGUGGGUUAAUGCUGAUCUAAAAUUGUAUGUAGGGCUGCUAAUAGUGCUGUUCUCCAAUAGAUAUAUAUCCUUCACUGUGUGUUAUGUUUAUUUUUUUCUAUGAUGUUUUUUCUAAUAAGCUAUGAAGAUAAAAUAGCCUCAUUAGUAUCCUGUAUAUAACUUAGGUACUUAUGAUCAGCUCAUAUAUUUGAAAUAAUAAUCCUUGAAAGUACUGUUUACAGUUCGUUCUUUCUGCUACUGCCAAGCAAGGAGCUGAUCUUAAAGGAUUGGAGGAGGAGGUGCUGUUUUGUGUUCCUUCUACAUUUCAGUAAAUUUGUUCACAGUUUACAUAGAUAAUGGUAUUUUCUAUACAUGUACUGAAUGCUCAAAUGGUUUAAUCAAUUAUUAUAUGGUUUAUGCCAUCCAACAUCUUUGCAUCACAAUUAAUCUUAGUAGUGUUUCUGUUGAUUUUUAUUUCUGAUACUACCAACAAACGAAAGUUUAAUUUGAAUGACUACAUAAUCUGACCAUGUGAUAAUAUCAUUUUGAGAUCAUUUGUUGUACGCCGCUUGCUUCAGGUUUAAUUACAUGCAAUUUCACCUGUGAGCAUGCAUCCACAAGCAAGCUAGUAUUAUAUAUUCUUAUGUUAAGUGUUUUUCUGAUUUUUACCUUCAUGUAUUCACAUAUUGGUUCCUAAUGAUUCAUUAUAUACGUUUUGUAGGUAACAUAAUCAUGACACCAGAAUAUAACAGGAAGAGGUUGACAACAGUUUUGAGAAACAGGACUGAAGCGUCACCGCCUCUUGCGAACAUAAAUGAGAUAACUAGACUAUUAGUAUACGGACCCAGCGGUGAUGACCAAGAGAUGAGUAAGGGUGAGGAUUAUAGCAGUGGCUGGGAAUAUGAGUCAAGGGAUGAAGAAGAGGCUAAUUAUGAUGAGGUUUCUGGGGUAGCAAAGGAGCAGGAGCUAAUUAAUGUACAUAUGUCCAAUGCAAAGGUAGCAUAUGAACUAAACAUUCUUUGUUUACCAUGUUCCUGCUUCAUCUUGUUCUGACAAAGUAUUUUCAUUCACUCCCUUGUUUUUUCCCAACUUGUUUACACUAGGGAAAUCGAGCUUCUACAAUGCCGCAAGGGAGAAAGCAAGCCCGAUCCAAACCCAGUGUACCUACUACCACAAGAACAACAAGAUCAUCGAGAUCCAGACCUAACCAGACAGAACCUACCCAACCUAAUGACAGCCAUACAUUAGCUCACCAAACUUCCAAUUAUAGCAACUCACCCCAGGCCAACACAGAGACACAACCUUCUGAAGACACGAUAGACACCUUAGGCCAUAUUGAUAACAGAGUUACACUUCAUGGCCAAGGUAUAUGGAACAUCACUUCUUAACAAUGUCUACUUUAAUUCUGAACUUCUAAUUUCUCUGCUACUUUGAUGUAGAUGCAUUAGUAGGCUCCACUGGUCCAACUAAUUCAGAAUCGAGGAGAGGUAAACGUAGUGCAACCAUAGGGCAUGGACUGCAGGAGUAUGUAAAAAGAAAUGGAGGGAGGAAGAUGAAGAUUGAUUUUUCGGAGGGCAGAGCGAGACCUGCAGACUCUAACCAAGCAUCCAAGCUUACUUCUGAGUGUGGUAUUCACACUCGCAACAAGAUGCAUGUUGCUACGCACUGGAAAGAUUACAAGGAACCAGUCCUAGCUCAUAUUAUUCCAAAUGCUAUUAAAUCUGUUGCGGUACGACAUCUUCGUUCAUUCUAUUCAUAACUCUGCUCAUAUUAUUCCCAAUGCUAUUAAAUCUGUUGCGGUAAGACAUCUUCCUUCAUUCUAUUCCUUCCUUCAUUCUAUUAAAUCUGUUGCACUAUCUCCUUUGAUGUGUUCAAUCAUUCAUUAUAUUCAGAAAAAGUUUGAAAUGGACACAAAAGAUGAGGUUGCCAAAGAUGUAUGCACAAAAAUAUUCCAGAGUGUUGUUUGACAACAACGCUACAGGUUGAAGAGGGAUUGUUUCAAGGGUCGUACUGUUGAGGAAGCGUUAUCCAAGAGGCCAUGCCACGUGACUCAAGAAAAUUGGGAAGAUCUUGUCAACAAAUGGUCAGAUGAAAGAAAUCAGGUUUGUAGCAAAAUAUGCCAAAACAACAUCUAUAAUAAAUCUGAAGUUGCACUCUGUGACUUGUGAAUUUGUUUUUACAUUUGCUAGCAACAUAUAUAGUAAAUAGUAAAUUGGUAGUAUCUUCAACUUAAUUCUUUUUUUGUUGUUUUCUGUUUACAAGUGUGUUGCUGCAUGAUUGUCUUCACUAAAGAGAGAAAAAGAUUACUAGUGACAUAAUUUACAUUACUCAAUGAACAUGUUUCCUGUUUUUAUGAAUAUUCGCUCGUAAUGAUAAUACUAAUAUUUGUUGCUUGGUAUAGGAAAUUUCUGCAAAGAACAAGCAGAACCGAGAAGCUGUAAAACAUCAACCAAAGACAGGCUCGAGGUGUUACAUUGCCCAUUUCCAUCAACUAGUAUGAACUCCAACUAAUUCCUUCUAGUCCAACGUAUAUUGCAACUUGUGUUCAUACAUAGAGUACUAAUUAUAUAAAUUAAUCCAUACAUCUUGCAGAAAAAAGACAAGUACAACAACGAGGACCCUAGUCCAAUUGACUUCUUCAAAGAUACACAUAUUGACAAAAAGACUGGUCGCAUGAGCGAGGAAGCACAAAUAGCUUAUGUGAGAUUUUUUUCCUCUAUUCCCACUGACAUUAAUUAUUUUCGGUGUUGUUAUUUCAUUAUCCAUAAACCCAGAUUUAAUAUAUGAGAACCUUGUUAUAUUAUUGUGGGAUUAAGAGGCUUUUUGCAAUGUUGUUGUGUUACUGCUGCUGCCCGCUGCUGCUACAUGUUGCUGCUGCUGGCUGGCUGGCUGCUGCUCACUGUAGCGGCUGGACGUUGCUGCUACUGGCCGUUGUUGCUGCUGUUGCAGGCUGUUUGUUGCUGCCAUCGCUGUGCUGUUUUUUUGCUUUAUGUAAUUUAUGUUGUUCCUGCCUCCUUUAAUCUAUUUUUCUCGUACAUGCUCCUGUAAGCUUAGUUCACAUGUCAACUCUCUUACUUGACCAUGGAUGUUUUUCUUGUACAGACUGCUAUGGAAAAUAAGAGGAGGGAAGCACAAUCAGAAGGUGGGCACCUAGUGUCUGAUGCACAGAUUGUGGCUGAAGUUCUAAAGGAGCACACCGCCUCAAGCACCUUCCUUUCAAGCAUGGGACUGCAAUCAAGACCAGGGAGUUCUAAGCCCUCCGCUUCCGCACUGCGCAUCCCAGAGUUAGAAGAAAGAGUUCAACAACAAGAUAUGGAAGCAAGAGAGGCAAAUGAGAUGUACCAGCAAGAGUUAAACAAGAAAGUCGAAGCACAAGAGUAUGCACUUCAAGAGAUGCAAAGGAAACAACAAGAAGAUCUGGAAGCUGUGAAGAAGAGCCAGCAAGAAAGAGAAGAAGCUUGGGCAAAGAAGCAGGCAGAAACAGACGCCCUUCUUAGUUUUCUUUUACGAAAACAUGGUGCAUGAAGGCCAUCAUUAUAUUGUGGUUCUUUAAUUUGGAGUAGUGGUGUGUUUUUGAUACUUUAGUUUGGAAUUGUAGAGACAAUAAUUUCAUGGUCUUUAGUUAUGUCAAUGUUUACAUUCCAUCGUAAUGUCAUUUGGCAUUCUUAUCAAUUUACAAUGUGAUAUCUGACAGUUAACUGUAUGUUAUUUUUAUGUCAGUUCACAAUAGUAAAUUUUAUGUAUUACAAUUAAAUUCAAAUCCUCAAUUUCAUGUAAAGUAAUUUCAUCUCAAUAUUAUUGAAAAAAAAAGAAAAAAAUUCUGAAUAAUGGAAUUGGUAAAAAUAUAAAUAAAUCGAUUAAAAAUUAUCCAUAAAUUAAUAUUGUUUUUAGAAAAGAAUCACCGCAUGACGACACGUUCAUUUGUGACGUUAACUGUGAUGUUUGUAAAAGGGCCCGGAGCUGACGUGGCAGAAGUCAGUGACGUUCUAGCGUCAUGGAAAAUAGUGUUCUGUGACAAAUUGGUAGGUAAUUUGUGACAUAACUAGGCGUCAUUGAAUAGGCUAAUCGAUGACGUUUUAAGGAGCGUAACAGAAAAUCAUGUAUUCAAUGACGGGGCCUGAACUUCGCGUCACUAGGAUGAAUUCGUGACGGUGAUUCAGUGACGAUGCCGGUGACGCUCCGUAAACGUCACUGUGGGUUUUUCUGUGACGUUUUCAGCUAUUCAGUGACGUUUAAAUUUCGUCACAUGAAGUCUGAUCUGUUGUAGUGUAUAACCGCCACUGGAGGGGGAUCACGGAUGGGGUUUUGCCGUAGUAGUGUCCUCUAAAAUAAAAAUCUAUCAUUCCAAAUAACGGAAACAAAGUGACACCUUUUUUUAUCUCUUGUUAGAGGGAAUUGAUUGCAAGAGUAUUUAAAGCAGCAAAAUGACCCGCGCAUUUGCGUUGCUAGAUUUACCAUAUAGAUAUUUGUUUUCGGUUAUUUUGUCGCCCCAACUAAAUUGUGUUGUCAACAUUAGUAUGUAUAUUGUGUGUGAAGUUUUUUGGAAAGCUUUCCAUCCUUGUUCCCUAAAAGAAGGCCUAGACAUUGAGGUCUGUAUUCGGCAUGCCAUCGAAAACUAUAUCUCUUCAUACUUCAGAUUUAUGUAAAAACAUUUAUCUAAUCUGACUCGGCUAUUUUCUAUAAAUACUAGUAGCUCUCAAAUUUAGUUAUUUAUGGAUGUUUUGGUCUGAUGAUCGAUUGUCCAAAUUAAUGCAGUCUACCUUGGAGGACUGGGUCCUAUUCCUGGUAAACUCUUCCUGCAAAUUUCUUCUUGUUCUUCUAUCACUUGGGCCCUGAAAGAUAUUGAAGCCCACUCGAAGAACCUAAUUUUUUUAAGAGACCGUCUAAAAGAAAUAGAAAGCUCAUCUGUAUGUAAAGAUCAUCUCAAAGGAACUCUAAAAUUGGAAACCUUAUCUAAAAUGAAUGCAAAACUCAUCUAAAAUUGAAUUGUCGUUUUAAAAUAUUGAAUUCGUCUCUAAGGGACGCAAAAAUAAAAUAGGAUACUGCUCGUCUCAAAGAAAUUGAAAUCCUUUCUUCAAAAAGUUGAAAAGGCAGCUCAAAUAUAUUGAGGCUCAACUCAAAGAAAUCUAAAAAAAAAUUGGAAUCACACUGCAACAAAUCCGUUGAAACAUGACGAUUUCGUCGUGACGGUUUGAUAGGCCGUCACAAAUCGCCCAAAAUGGUGAUGGUCCGACUCAUUUCCAUCACAAGUCGAGGUAAGGCCCAUGGGCUGUGAUAAUAUGGUGACAGAGCCGCUCUAAAUGCCACCGAUGGCCAUGCGCGGUUCGUGUCGAGCCGUAAACCGCCACACAUUCUUGCGGUCCAAUUCAUAAAGUGGCCGCCAGGCACCUUGAUCUUAGACGUGAACCCACACAUUUUGUCAGUUCCAUCAACCUAGGGUCCACAUACAAGGUACGGACCGACCCGAGUCCUCACCAUGUACUACCACGUGUCCAGUGGGGCUACUACAUGUCCAUGUGUGCCCACAUGUCAGGUUUGGACCAAAUUUCAAGAGCACGUGUCAUUGUUAUCUCCAUGCGACUGGUCCCUCCUGUAAGAACAGGACCACAUGUGUCCUUACACUCUACUUCCACCCGUCACUGGUACAACCCGCUCAAGCAUGGGUCCAUAUGGUUAGUCGAUCCAACUUGGGGGGCUACGGGUCAGGGUACGGAGGUACACGUGUCCUUAUGUUGUACUUCCACAUGCCACCUCAUGUCUUGGUGGACCCACAUGUCAGUCAUGUACCUAGUUUUUUGAAAGCGUGACGUUUUUGGUCCGGCCCGAUCAAGAGAGCCCACCAGUCACGUUGCCACUUAUGUAUGGUUGGGUGAACUAGUCAUGCAGGCAUGGGCGGUUGGACCCAAUCAUUUACAUGGACCACUCCAUACGACUGGGCUGCCUGUCAGAAACGGGUCACAUAUGUCCUGACGCACUGUUCUAGAAAAAAAAGUCCUUACGCUCUACUUCCACCUGUCCAGCUGGACCACCCAAUUCAAGGGCCUAUAUGGACAAUCAAUCCAACUUGGGGCCCAUCGUAAGAGUACACAGAGGUACGCAUGUCCUCCUUUGUACUUCCACAUGUCCAUUAGGAUCACUACUUGUCUUGAUGGACCCAAAUGUUAGUCCUGGGCCCAUUUUUCCGGUCUGGCCUAAACGAAAUAGAGCCUUGGCUGGCAAUACUCGUUUUGGAAGAAUUGCUGCCUCUUCAAUGCCUUUCCGAAAAGUCCAGAUUUCUCUACCCUCACCACCCGCACUAGGGUUUUCUCACCUUUUUCGGGGGAUUGGCAUCUUAUUUCGAUCUUCAUUCUUACUCUUCAUGAUUAGGGCAUCUCCAACAAGAUACACUUAUCAUUACCUAUAUUCUCCGUCUUGCUCUUUGAGGUGUGGUGGAGUGAAAAGUUGGAGAGAUUGUUUCCUUUGCAGAAGUAGCAGAUUUUUUUUUGCAGGUAUGCAGAAGUAACAGCUUGACACAAUGAUAGAAAAUGUGAGGAGAGAAGUGGAUGGAGAACCACAUGGAUCCUAAUUGAAAAGUUUACCUUGAGAGUUGAGAGAAAAUAUCACAUAAUUGAUUGACGAGAUAGAAAAAUGAGCAGGGGAGAGAGGCCCCAAGUAAAAAGCUCUUAUUGGGAUGCCGUUAUGGACGGUGCUUACUGGUUGCAAGGUUACCGAUUUGUCAGUAUCAGCAAGCUGUAGAGGGUGGUAGCAUCGUACGUUCACUAUAUAUAGGAGACUAGGCCUCCUUUUCGAAACACCGGACAGCGUUGUUUCACAAUAGAACAUAGGUAUGCUAGAGACUAUGGCCAAGUACGUGAGUGCUUCUUUAGCCAUCCUGUUGUUAACCCUGUCUUUAGUUGCUGCAACAACAGCAGACGACCCUUCUCACUCAGAACUAUCUAGCAAGAUCAGCGAGCAUUCUCUAUCUUACAGCCCGCAGGCGCAACACUUCCCGAACGAGCGGCUCUACCGAGCCUACCUCGUUAUCCAACGCUUCAAGAGCAGCAUCACUAGCGAUCCGAAAAACAUCACCACAACCUGGUCUGGCUCUGACAUAUGCGGCAAAACAAGAUAUGCCGGAUUCCACUGCGCGAUAACACCCGGGCGGGCUAAGAUUCUCACAGUCACGGCAAUUGUUUUCAAUGGUUUUGGCCUGCGUGCGCCGAGGCUGCACAGCUUCAUCGACCAGCUCCCCGAUGUUGUGAUUUUUCAAGCUUCCUCCAAUAACUUUGGGGGAGACAUCCCCCACCUCGACGGCCUUGAGUAUAUGUAUAAGCUCAGUAUGUACGACGAUCUCCAUGAUCAGUAUUCUGAAACUAAAACAACCAUUGGCGGGAAUGUUGGCAUCGGUCGACUAUUUCAACUUACAUAUAAAGUCGGUAUAAAUUUUGGACACAGCAAUGGUAGGGCGCUCCUCCUCAAUAGAAACAGUUUAUCCGGGCCACUUCCGGCCAACCUCGGCAUCUCCAAGUUGAGCUACCUCGCCCUCGCCAACAACAAGCUCACCGGCCCAAUCCCGUCAUCAAUCGGGCAAGCAAAAGACUCCCUCCUCGAGCUCCUCCUCCUCAACAACCAGCUCUCCGGCUGCCUCCCACACGAGCUGGGCAUGCUCACCAAAACCACGGUCAUCGACGCCGGGAAGAACCAGCUCACGGGCCCGAUCCCGCAAUCCUUCUCCUGCCUCAGCAGCGUCGAGCAGCUCAACCUGGGCGAGAACCGCCUCUACGGCCAGGUCCCCGACGCGCUCUGCAAGCUCGGCCGCCUCGCCAACCUCACGCUGGCGGGCAACUACUUCUCCUCGGUCGGGCCGGCGUGCUCGGCGCUGGUCAAGGACGGCGUUCUGGACGUAAAGAGGAACUGCAUCCCCGGCCUCGCCAACCAGAGGGCGCCCGCGGAGUGCGCCUCGUUCAUGAGCCAGCCCAAGGCGUCCUGCCCUGCCGCGAGCGCUCCCGUGUCCUGCCCUGCCGAAGCUGCCGCGGACGCCAAGAAGAUGGCGCCGGAGGGGAGGGCGGCCGCCAAGGACUACGCAAGCUACGUGACGUACGCCACUCUCCAUGAGUGAGCUAGGCGCCACGUAGUGCGUACGGCUUGUCGGCGUGGCGCAUGCAUGCGCUAGGGGACGCCGUGCCUCGUCGCUGGAGUAAUUUGUUUGCUAUUGUAUUCAUUUUUCUUGUAUUUGUUCGGUUGGUGUGUGUGCGCGCGCGCGCACGUGAUCGUUAUUUGUUUUUCUCUUCACGUGUGGAUGUCACGUCUAGAUCUUGCCCUCUUGUACGUACUGUACUGCCAUGCACGUCUGUUGUGUGGUGGCAAUUAAUUUGGAUCGUAUCUUGCUUUGUUCUUUCAUGAUGUCUUGAAAUUAUGUGAAGUUUUCUUACAUUGUGCAUUGCUAGUUACCAUUGCUCGGUGUAAAUGUAUAAUACGGUCAAUAAACCAUGCAUGCCUCUCUGUCGUACAAACUUAACGACCAAACUCCCCAGCAGCACCUGCUUAAUUACGUGUGCAUUUCCGAAUGUAUAUCACAAAGGUUUAUGGUCAUCGCCAAAUCUCUUUUGUGACCGCGCACCUUCUCGUCGCUCGCAGUGCGCACGCACGUGAAUCGUCCGAUCUGAUCGAGCGUUCUCUGUUCUCCCCCUCCACCUCCUCCUCCCGACCAGGCGCCACUCCUCCCCCCUCCUCUCUCUCCCUCUUCUCCCACGAGUUCUCCAGCGCAGGACGUCGUUGCCGUGGGCCAGCCCGCCAUGGAAUCCGCCGGAUCAGGACACCCUUCUCCCUCCCUCCUCCCGCCCGAGGUGCGUCUCGAGCACAUGAAGACGCCUCGUGGGCCGCCCCGCCGAGAAAUCGGCCGGAUCUGGACCUGCUCUCUCCCUCCCCACCUCCCUCCUCCCCCCGAGGUCCGUCCCGGGUGCAGGAUGACGCCUUCUGGGCUGGCCUGCCGUGGAAUCCGCCGGAUCAGGACCCGCGGUUCCUCUUGCCCGCGGCGUUGGGGAGCUCUCGAAGGGGCCAGCCAUGUAGACCGCAGACUCGUCGUCGUUGGCCACGCCGAAUAAAGGGACGACGACCCCGUCGUCCUUGGCCCGAUAUGGAGGCACGUCCCGGCAACAACGAUCCCGUGAUCGUAACGGUUCGUGGUCUAUGAGGGUAUGGUGCUCAUAAUUUCUCUCGUUACUUACAUCCAGUAGAUAUGAUCUUGGAUUUCUUUCGUACUUCUCGUAGAAUUUUUUUAUUUUUCAUGCAACGAACCCAUCAGUAAAAAUUCCUGGUGCAACAAAUUCUAGGGCGCUCCUCCUAAACGGCGAUAAACUGUCCGGGUCACUUCCGGCGGACAUUGGCUUCUCCAAGUUGAGCUACCUCGCCCUCGCGGGAAAUUUCUAGCUGACGCCGUGGAUGCCUACCUCGAUUAUCCACACCGUUCGCCCGUAUAGGGAUCUGAGCCAUCUUAGGUGGCCGAUCAGGAUUUACAGUCACAUUAACUGAACACGGUCCAUAGGGGUGGUAGGACGCAGCACGUAGGUCUGCUUUUAGCAGAGACUGACAGACCCUUGCUGCCUUGCAGCAAGUUUUCCACUGUAGCGCUCGCUCCAUGUAGCGCUCGCUCCAUGUCUCACUCGGAGUACUAGUAGUCUGAAUAGUACUAGUUUUGAUAGCAGUAAUAAUGGGGGCAUAGGAGUAUUGAGGAGCUUUGCUUAAAGAUGUGAGCAAUAUCGAGAAGCUUUGCUUAAAGAUGUUUUACUGUGCAUGGCAAACAUUGUUUUUUCAAUGUUUUUCUAGUUUGGACGUCAGAACAUUGUUUUUCCCAAUGUUUUGUAGUGUCCUCGGCCAAACAAUGUUUUUUCCAGUGUUUCGUUGAUGUCAAAAGCAUCUCUGAAACUCUGAAUAACACAUGCAUUUGUUCAUAGAUAUUUUUUUCGUGUGUUUCAAUGCUUGAAGCACCAUGAGUACGCAUGUGAAUCGCAUGAAGAAAACUCGGUCGUUCCUGUGAAAAUACAAACCGAGUAGCAGUCCUUACGGUCAGUUUGACCACUGCACAAUCCUAAAGUUAUUUUGUCCAACUUCACGUGAGCUAGCGGAGUAAUUUAGAAGUCGAGAGUCGAGACCCUCCGGCUCCAAGUGGGUCCCUAGUGAACAGAAGCCUGCUAUCCCUUGUGCCUUUUGUGGGAUGGGACAAAAAAGAAGAAAUGACGACCAGCACUGGGAGAGAAUGAUGGAAGAUAUAAAAUACUCCUACAAGAAAAUCAGUAGAGAGAGCGCAAUACUCGAAGAGAUAGAAGAAACAGUAGUCAUGGGAACUACAGUGACUUUGGCAAUAUCACCUACAGUAUCCUACGAUAGGAACAAGAGGCUGCAUCCACUGUCAGAUAUUUAGUUCUCGAUGGCCAUAAUGACUUUCCUUAAACCUGAUUCUGGCGCAAAUCCCGAGGAAUGAAACACUGCUCCGAUGGACAGGAUAGGCGGGGCACUCACCUACGUGGUCAGAAAAAUCACCCUCCCUGGCCUCGCCCUCGCAAACAACAAGCUCACCGGCCCAAUCCCGCAGUCAAUCGGGCAAGCAAAAGACUCCCUCCUCGAGCUCCUCCUCCUCAACAACCAGCUCUCCGGCUGCCUUCCUCAUGAGCUCGGCAUGCUCACCAAGACAGCCGUCAUCGACGCCGGGAUGAACCAGCUCACGGGCCCGAUCCCGUAAUCCUUCUCCUGCCUCACCGGCGUCGAGCAGCUCAACCUGGGCGGGAACCACCUCUAUGGCCAGGUCCCCGACGCGCUUUGCAAGCUCGCCGGCCCCUCAGGCCGCCUCGCCAACCUCACGCUGUCAAGCAACUACUUCACGUCGGUCGGGCCGGCGUGCUCGGCCCUGAUCAAGGACGGCGUGCUGGACGUGAAGAAGAACUGCAUCCCAGGCCUCGCCAACCAGAGGGCACCCGCGGAGUGCGCCUCGUUCAUGAGCCAGCCGAAGACGUCCUGCCCGGCCGCGAGCGCUCCCGUGUCCUGCCCUGCUGCCCCCGCGGACGCCAAGACGAAGAUGGCGCCGGAAGGGAGGGCGGCCGCCAAGGGCUACUCCAGCUACGUGACGUACGCCACUCUGCAUGAGUGAGCUAGGCGACACGUACGGCGCGAGGCGCACGCAUGCACUAGGGGACACUGCGGGCCUCGUCGCUAUUUAUUUGUUUGCUCUUGUAUUCGUUUUUGGAUGCGUUGGGGUGCACAUGUGGUCUUGUUUUUUCCCUUUUUAUUUGUUUUCCAAUGCACGUACGUGUGGAUGUCGCAUCUCUCGCUUGUACUGUACGGCCACGUCCGUUGUGGGGAGGUAAUUAACUUGGAUUUAAAUCUUGCUUAUCUAUUAGUAUCUAUUAAAUUAGAGGAGUUGGUGGUGAUGGGUCGGCGCCGUUAGUCCUCUUUCCCACCUGCCGAUCCGAUCUGGACCAAGCGAGCCGCACCCGGACGCACCUAAAAACGAAACGGUUUUUUCUUUUUUCCCGUCGCCUGCGCCUGUGCGAGCCGCCACGCCGCCUUCCUCCUCCGCGCCGCACAGCGCCGACUCCUAUCCGUCGGCAGGUGGGCGUCCGUCCCGUCUGUCCGUAAUUUCGCUAGAAUUACGGAUAUGCCAUCGCACGCCAGCUACCCAACCUCUCGGCUUCUCACUUCACAGUACCGCGUACCCACGAGAGAAAUCGCCCGCACCUGCGGGUUCCGUGGUGGUGGCGUUGGCGUUGGCGGCCUUCGCGGCCCCGGCGGCUGAGAUCUCGCUGGAGCUCGCCUCGUCCUCACGACUCGUCGUCCGACCCGCUUCUCUCUUGUCUUCCCUGCCCCACCAGCGCAUCGGGAUCUCACGCCUCCAGUUCUUCUCCGCCGCCGACUCCAGUCCCCUCCCACUCAAUCAGGGUCCGCCGCCGCCACCAGGAAGAACCGGUUCUUCUCCUCUCCCGCCUGCGCAGCUGCCGGUUCUUCUCAUCUUCCAAUGCCACGGUGGGCGUGAGGGGCGGGCCGGAUUUGGCGUCGUCACCUACCCAAAGGGGUCCGCGGUGGAUUCCACACCGCGGUCGCCGUUUUAGGUUGUGUUCCAGCCUGCCCCGGCCUCCCCACCCGGCGAGCCUGUGGCCGUGCAUUUCUCUGGCAAGCUGCUGGCCGCGUAUAUCUACACCAACUCAUGAGCUCGUGGCUUCGUGCCCAUCCUUUGUCUUGAUUCGGUACAUCAUCAAGGGAUUUUUUUUUUUCCUCACUAACACAAUUUAACACUGUUAAUGCAUGAUCCCAUGUUAUAUCAAUUGAUGAUUGAGAUGUAGUGAUUGAUAUUUGUAUUUUGCAAGAUUAAUGCAGGAUUGAGAUUGUGGUAUUAUGCCGCCAAGUGUUUGCUGAAAUGUCUUAAGGGAAAUUUACUCGUAAGUUUCUCUUGAAUUGUCAUCUUGCUGUUUGUGGGCUUCCUUUAUUUUGCAUGGGAGCCAAGACCUAAACAGAUGCAAUGAAACUGCCAUUACAUAUAUCAUUGUGAUAUUCUGAAACUUCUGAAUCCUUCAUGCAGUGCAUUUGUUAUGGCCUAAAGCCUGAUGAUGUUGGUCAGUUCGCUAGAUGCAAUCUUUUCCUCCUCCUUAUAUAAGUUACUAUAUUAACAUAUAAGUUUUCUUGGAUAAGGAAGCUAGCAAGAUUGUUGGAGUGCCAUUUUACUGAUAAAAUAAUCCAUCGAUUUAGCUCCAGUGAGUUAGUAAUUGCUGCUGUUGUGCUUCAUUUUUCUUGAUUGGAAUCAAUAAAUAAUGGUGUUUGCAUGAAUCGAAAAUGAUUCAUUUCUCGGCAAGUUACUAAGUACUCCCUCCGUUCCUAAAUUCUUGUCUCAAAUUUGCCCAAAAAUGGAUGUAUAGAUUCCUAAAAAGCGUCUAGAUACAUGUAAUAUUUCGACAAGAAUUUAGGAAGGGAGGGAGUAUCUUAGCGCCGGUGGAUUUCCCGGUGACGCCGCGGGCCACGCACUACAUGGAAGUGGCGGGGGACAUUGGAUAAUUUCCGUAUCUGUUCAUAUAUUUGUGUUGAUUUUAUUUUCGAGAUUCUCACAUGAAUCUACAAGAAAAGACACAUUUAUUUUUUCGCUUGGGAAUCACUUGAUGCUAAUUAUUUGGGAAGAUUUUUUAUUAGCAAUUCGUCCAUGUCAAAAGAUUAACAGAGAUUUUUGUUAUAAGAGGCGAACAUAUAUUUUUAUCAAAUUUUCAACGGCGAAUGGUAGUUUGGUCCAUGUUACCCCUACCCGAUGUCACUCCUCCUCUGCUGCUGUCAAGAUCCAGCCAUGGUGUUCUUCGUGUUCUUGUAAAAUAAUCUUUCAUUUUAUCCGAUGCGACAUUUGAAGCACAUAAAUUGGGUUUUUUUACAACUGCACAUGAUUUGUUUGGUUACGCAAUUUCUGUACAAAGGUGAUGCUUCUGCUCAAGUAGAAUCUGGGACAGAUUUUGUGUUUGUACUACACACAUGUUGGAGGUUUUUUUUUUCAAGAUUUAGCAGAACCGAGUAUGCUGGUGAUGAACUUUGUGGGCUAAACAUUCUGUAAUUUAAAUAUUUGUACCAACAGAUUGUUAACUGUUUACUUGAUGUCCAAAUCUUCUGCCUUGAUGCGAAGUUAUUACAUUGUGGCAUUGCUGUGGUGACUGGUCAAUAUUUCCCAGCAUAGUGUGGCGUCACGGGAUUAUCCGGACCAUUGAUUGCCGCCGCCACAUUAUCUCGGCGAGGCGAGCCUGAGAGGUCACCGGCAAGGGCGACACCGGAACCCUUUCCGGGCUAAGGUGCCACCCGUGCGGCAGGUGGACGUCCGGCCACGGCACCGGAAUGCUCUGUUCCCAAAACUCUCGGGCCAGGUCGACGCUGACAUUGCAUCGACCCAACCGGACGGAUCGCGCGGGCGGCGCGAUUGUGAAUCCCCGUGACACCGGCGGGACGGAGCGCGACGGGGAGGAACGGUGGAGCUCCGACGCGACGCCGACGGUGCGCUCUGGCGCGGAUCAGAGGAGAACGAUGCCUCGCGGUCGUUGGCGGUCUUCCUCCACCACGGCUUGGGCGCCAUUGCCGUGGUCGGUCGCACUACGUAGGGUUUUCCGUCGAAGUGGGUGGGGGAGAAAUGGGGACGGGGGCUAGUCCCAUUUAUAUGUCCGCGACAGGUAGUCGCUGGGCCGCUGGCAGGUGGGGACAGGGAAGGCGAGGGGGUUUGACCGCGUGGACCAGCCGGACCGCGUGCGUGGAGACACAAACCCUCCUCAGAUUUGGGGCAGGAAUGGGUCAACGCGGACCCGAAUCCGGACCGCCGCGCAAAUGGGUCGCCCCGGGCGACGCGUUUUGUCCAUUUUGGACCAACCGGACCGCGUAGGCCCAUUUGCGUCGCCCCGCUGGAGUUGCCCGUAGGAACAAAAUUUGAGGAUGUGGUUGGAAAUGCUUUUGGGCAACAGCCUGGACGCCCUCGGGCUCGGCCCGCUCAGGCUCGGACGGGCUCGGGCUCGGCCCGGCAAAUGCAAAGCCUGGGCCGAGCAGCUGAACUGCGCUCGUUUUUAUGGGCCGAGCCCAGCUCUGCUCUGGCUGCUCGAAAAAGCCCGAAAAUAUAUCCGGCCCAGUCCACCUCAUGAAUUUUCCCCAGCCCACUCAUCAUCUACUCCUGUCCGAAAGCUCCCCAGCCCACUAAAGCAGUACGGCUCAUACCACAGCCACUCCUGCAGUCCUGCCUGACAACUCCACGAUCGAACUCCAGCCCGAGCUAGCGUUCGUUAGGUUUCCUCUUCUCUGGCAGAUGCUGCGCCGCUGCACAACCUGCACAGCUUGCACCGUCGGGCGCUAUGUCCCGCCGUCUAGAUCCGCCGGCCGGCCGCCACGUCCCACCGCGCACGCCGUCUAGAUCCGUCGGCCGCCGCUGAAGACAAUGACGGGGAAGUCGAUGCCAUGGCGAGCGGUGUCGGGCAGCGCGGCGGCGAUGUCGACGUCAACAACCCGACGCCUCUUCCUCUCUUCGAGCGCAUUGGUCCCGCGCUGGACAUGGCCAUGGCGAAGAACCCCAUCCGCUUGGAUGUGUGGUGUGUCGUCGAGCCGGAAGAAGAUGGUGGCCAAGAAGACUUCGAGCGCAAGCGGGUUCGCGUACGUCGGCACCGAUGUGGACGAUGAGGAGGAAGACGACUUACUGUUGGGGUUGUCAAGCUCGGCCCGAGCUUCAGCCAGGCCCGAGCCGAACCUCGGAUAUAGGCCUGAAAAUGGUUUCGGGCCGAGCCGGGCUCGGCGGGGCUCGCAUCCAGGCCAAGCCAAUGCCCUGCUCGGUUGCCUCCUGCGUUUUGCCUAACCGCGAUCAGGCCGCCUGCUCGGCCCGUCUCGUGUGACUCCCGCCGAUUGAUCGAUCAAGCGAUCAGCCGCGAAUGGAGAGUACGUGCUCUGCUGCUUCUCUCGAAUCACGAUCGCUCUAAAGGAGGGCGGAGGGGCAACACGCGCGGCCUGGGCUCCGCGCUGCCUCCUGCUAGAGCUCCGGCGAGCUAUGGCAAAGGAUGGAGUGCUCUGGAACCUGCAAUGUCUACUUGUCAGAUUACCUGUGCCUAAUUGCCAGGUUAGCUAUAUCUAGUUGCGAGAUUACCUAUGCCUACUUACAAGGUUAGCUAUAUCUAGUUGCCAGGUUAAAUAUACCUAGUUGCCAGGUUAGUAAUCUCUGAUUGCCAGAUUACCUAUGUCUCAUUGCCAGCUUAGCAAUGUCUCCUUGCUAGAUUAUCUAUGUCUACUUGCCAGGUUAACUGUACAUAGUUGUCAGGUUAGCAAUGUCUACUUACCAGAUUACCUAUGCCUAAUUGUCAGGUUACCUAUGCUGCCAGAUUACUUGUGCCUACUUGCCAGGUUAAGUAUGCAUAACUGACGUGUUAGCAAUACAUACUUGCCAGAUUACGUAUGCCUAUUUGUCAGAUUAGCGAUGUCUAGAUGGGGCCGUAUGCCACUGGAUGCAGAGCAGAGCCCAUCACCGUUGCUGCUCCUGGUGGCCGCUGAAGCCCGCGCCCUCCCCUGCUCCGUCGACACCCUGGCUCCGACUAGGCCCUGUCGCCGGGGCCGUGUCCCUGCUCCCUCGGCGCCCCGUAGCAGCGACCGUGCCCUGGCUCCGAUGACGCACCGCCGCCGGGGCCGCGGCCUUGCUCGGUCGGCGCCCUGGCUCCGACGACGCCCCGUCGCCUAGGUCGCGCCCCUGCUCCGUCGGCGCCCCCCCCCCCCCCCCCCACACACACACAGCAACCGCGCCUAGCCGCCGCGACCCUGCUUUGCCGCUGAUCCACCGCCGAUGCGGGCGGGCGCUGCUCCGCCGCCGUUUCCGUCCGCUACGGCCGCGCCCCUGCUUCAAUCGGGAUUCGGUACGAGAAGAGAGAGCUAUCGGGAAUGAGAGAGGCUAGCGAAGAAAGAUGGGAUCAGGAGAAGAGAAGGGGAUGGAGGGGAGUUGGAUUGGACGGACCACCGACCGCCGCACGGUAAGACCAAGUGGGGCACGUGCCUCACUUAGAUUAACCGUUCUUUUUUUCGGGAGAAGACGACGAACAGUCGAGCAGAUCCACCUCUUUUGUCCAGGCUGGGCCACAGCAAGUCCGUUUUCCCUUUUUUUUUUCUGAGCCUCUAACCGUUAUGUCGGCUCUUCUUCUCCUUUGGGCUAGUACGGUUGGGCCCGGUCCUCUCGAUUGAAGCGUGAAACCGAUCGACGCCUCCUCAUUUCGAUUCAGGCCUCCCCUGCCUCGACCCUAGUUUUGAAAACCGGACCGGUAAUCGAACCGGCGAGGUCUCGGUUCGGUUUUUCCGGUCGAACCGCUAGUUCACCUGUUGAACCGGUUUGGUUUUUUAACAUAUAAAAUAAUCUAUUUUAAAUAAAUACUAAAAAAAUCCCGCGAGGCGGCGCAGCGAGCUGCCGAAGCUGGUGCGGGGCGCGCAGCGGCCGGCGCCGGGGGCGGCGAUGCGCGGCGGCGGGCGGGUGCGGGAUCCGGCGAGAUGGGGAACGGCAAGUGAACCGGGCGGUUCGAGUCAAACCGCCCGGUUCACCGGUUUUCACCAAAACCAGCCGAUUCACCCGGUUUUUCCCGGUCCACUUGGCCGUCCGGUCCAGUGCGCUAAACAGACCGCUGGGAGCUGCGGUUCCGGUUUUUUCCGGUCGGACCGCCGAUCCGGUCCGGUUUUCAAAACUAGGCCCUCGACCCCGCCCAUUUAUUUCCCACGCGAGAGAAAACCGUAUUCCGGCGAUCCCUAAUCGAAAUCAAAGCCCCGAAUCCCAAUUAAAUCCAAGGCUUCUGGGCUCCGGCGAAGGAACCGCCUAGAUGGCGGACAGCUCAGGCCGGGCUGCAGCUCAAGACUUUUGUUGUCGACUUGUUGCAAUUUGAUGGUGGCUUAGGGCACGCAAAAUGGUUGAUAAAGACGCCUCCUUUUAUGUGCUUCACGUCAUUUAGAUACGACAACAAGACAUGUUGUACAAUAUGUUAUAUCUUAUUGUCAUAUCUCAAAAUUAAUGCUAGAUGAACAAAAUUAUCAAACAAAUGUUAAAAAGGGUAAAAUUCAGUACAAUGAAAAAUUUGCCUUUUCUUUGCCUUAUACUUCUUCUGAAGAGAUCAUAUGUUAGCUUAGAUAAGGUUCAUGCAUUUUCUUCACUCUCUUCCACAUCAUCAUUUAUCCUACAUGGCACCCUUAAAAAAAGGCCGGUGUCAAUCCCAUUGUACAUGCCUUUAUUGGCUAGUGGUGUUUUGUUAUCACAUUUUGCAUUUAUUUAUGUACAAUUAUUAUUGUGAUCUAAUUGAGAUUGUCAUGUUUUUUUUGUCAAUUAUCAAAAUUAGCACUUAUAUGUAUGCAACAUGUAUCUAAUCGGGAAUCGUUUGAAACAAAUCUCCUCCAAUCGAAAAUUCGUAAUAAACUGAUCAUGGGCAUGAAACCAUGAACCCAGCUCUAAUACCACUCGUUAGAAAAUACAAUGUGCAAUGAUUGAUUAAUUGAGAAAAGACUAAUCAGAACAACACGGCACCGAUAUUUGUUUACGACGUCUAUCGUUGCCAACUAUAUCCUAGGUGUGUGUUAUUGUGUUGGCAUAGUCUACUGAAUUAUCCCGCAAUACCUUAGAUAUGUGUUACAAUUAUUCUAAGUCACACAUAAAACCCUCCUCCAAUUGCAGUAUUCGACAUAGUUCCAUGAAUCUCAGUCACUGUCCUAGACCUUUGGACCAACAUCCAAUAAUAUAACCUGCAAAUUUUCAAAUGGGUCAAAAUUUCAUUAAAAUAGCACUUCCAUAAACAGGUGAAAUUUCAGGCUUAUUAGUGUGCAGAUUUAAGCGUGGGUUUUCAACAAACCUGUCCAAGAACCUUAUGUAAUUAUUUUUAUUAUGUUUGAGAUCCUUUGUAUUUGUUGAACCCUUAUAACAGAUAUAUAAUAGAUAUGCAAAAAGAAGAAGAAAAGACCAAUAGUAGAAGAGCUUUAGUUUAACUAGGAAUGCAACAUUUUAGUUACGUCCACUACUGCGAGGCCACCUUGCUAGCUAUUUAAGGCAUAGGAAGACAAGGGCAUGUGUAGUGAUUGAAAAGUCUCAAUAUUUUCUUAGUCUCUUAGAUCACUUAGAGCGACACUACAAAAAUGAUGUACAAUACAUUUUUUAUCUGAAUAUUGUAUCUAGGAAUUAACGUUUGCAUGCCUCCAAAAUGAUAGAGUGGUUAAAAUUGAACUAAAAAUGUUAUCUGGUACAAUAGAGAAAAACAUCUUAUUAUAGGUGCUAGAGACCAUCUUUUAGUUGAGAAUACAUACAUCCUUUUUUAUUUAUUUCCUUUUCAAGGCAAGAACUAUCUUCGUAGUUUUAUUAAAAGAAUCACAUGUACCCUCGUACAUUGCCUAAUUUAUACAUCAACACAACCGUUUGGUAACUCCAACUAUUUAAACCACACGCAAGAGCCGGGUCUUCAGUCCUUGAAUUUUUGCUUUACUCAGCUAUGCGAUCUCCUAUUCGAUCGUGUCAGUCUGUUUCCAGAGCUGGUGGCCACAGCUGCUUGGUAUCUCUGGUGGCAGAGAAGACGUGAAGUUCAUCACGAGAGACCCAGGCGUGUGACCGAGCUGCUUUCUCCAUUGCUGCACUGGCUCAGAACUUUACGAGAGCGGCAUCUCAUGAUAAGGCAGUACUCGUUCCGUUUCAUGAAACAAUACAUACUAGAUUUUUUUGAUUUGUUACACAAAUCAACACGUUUUUUUUCUUGGUUCCCGCAUCCGGCUAUAAUAACGGUUCACAUCCAUUUAGUACUAAUGUAGUAUAAGUGUUCGGACACUAAGAACGAGAGUUGUCUUAAUCUAAGUGCACAAAACUAUAUGAUGUGUUUUUUGUAAUGGAGGAAGUAGUAAAGAAGGCCGGCUGGUUGAGGCUGCCUGUUGAUUGUGUUAAAGUGAAUGUCGAUGCUGGUAUUGAUCCUGAUGAAUUGUGUGGAACUGUUGCUGCCGUGAUAAGAAAUAAUCAGGCUGUUUUUGUGACUCCUAUUAAAUGCAAGCUGGAGUGUGUGCCGGACGUUAUGACGGCUGAACCUUUUGCUCUCAGUCUCGGCCUGGAGCUUGCUCUUCUUAAUGGCUGCACAAAGGCCGUUUUUAGCUCGGAUAAUCUUCAGCUUAUCCAGAUUCUUAAGGGGGAGGUUCAGAAUUAUUGUCCGGCUGCUGCUGUAAUUGAUGAUUGCUUUCAGCUGAUUUCUGAAUUCUCCAAGAUUUCUUUUGAGUAUAUUGCCCUAGAGAAGCUAACGGUGUUGCGCAUGAACUCGCGCAGCUUGUGAAGAGGCCCCUGCUUCCUCUCGGUUUGAUAUUCCACCCCGGUGCAUUGGGACUCGGCUGCGGUGACGUACUGCCCGUAGGUGGGGCCGGUCCCACGUGUCAGUGACUGUAAAGUCAGGGGCAUACUUCACUAAAUCCUCGUCGCGUGCAUUAUACCUCAUUUGGUUGAUGGUGUAACACCUAUUGUGAUAAGAAAUAAUCAGGAUGUUUUUUUUUUGUUGAGGGUUUGAGAGCUGUAUGUUGGGCAAUUUGGAAGACCUAGAAUGGGGGUUGUUUUGAAAAGAAAGUCUUACAUCAUCCUGAAUCUAUCGUUUUCUCCUUGUGCUCCUUUCUUCAGUUCUGGGCAAGUCUACAGAAGGGGCCUCGCCAACUACCGAUGAACGAUGGAGCUUGGCCUGUUGUGGCAGAUGGUGGUGCUACUGAGACGAUCUCGAGGAAGACUGUCGGCUCUUGGGAAGCUCCAGAUGACUGUUGAAGCUCGGUUGUCGGUGUUUUGCACGAAACUCUACCGUUGCAUUGGCAUUUGAUCCUUUUUUUGGAUCUGUAAUAUGUUAUCGCUCUAUCAUGUAUCAGGAUUUUGUUCCUGUAGUCUGUCUGAAACCCCUCUUUUCGACUUGUAGCGUGGCAAAGGGGGUCGAGUCGGCCCUAUUCGCAAUGAGUUUCCUGCUGGUUUUAUGUUUGGCUUUCCCCGCUCGUAUUUCCCUCUGCUGUUGGGUAGUUCUUAUGUGCCAGAUAUAAUGUUGUUUCCGAAAUUGCAAUGGAAAAUGGGGGCAGUCCAAGUCGAAAAAGGGAAAGGUAUUUUGCUAUCAAAAGAAAAGAAAAGAAAAACACCGCAAGAUGAUCAAUUCGAUUACGGCAGUUGCGAUGCCCCUUUCGUGCCCGGCCAAGCCGAGCUGUUUCUCCGCAUGUUCUCCGGCAGGCCACCACCAUUAUUGGUUAAAUCUUUUGGUCCUUCGUUCGAGCUUUCUGAGACCAUCCAAACAGUUAGGUCAGCCAUGCAACAAAAGGACUCCCGUGCUGAGGCUGGCCAAAUGCAUAAUGCGUAUGACUUGUACUGCUAUAGGGUACAAGUAGACAACCGCGAUCUGUGUCGUACUAUGUCGUUCUCUUGCCGGCUUUGCCGCCCGUAGGGCCGUGUCCGCGAGGCUUGUCGAGUUUGGAGGACGAGUUGUGCUUUCACGUGCACGUAUAUGUCGUCUGAGUGGUGUAGGCGUGCGGAACCAGUUUCUUCGUCAGUUUCUGCGUAAUGAUCUCCUUCCAGGUUGGAGACUGAUGCCGGAUCCAGCCACGGGGGAGAAACCCUUGUCCUCUGCAUAUGUUCUUCAGGAAGGUAGGUCUUUAAUUUGCUCAGCUCACUGGCAGGCAGGAGUAUUACUGGUGGGCCAACUGGAGCGUAGUGCAAAUAAUACACUCGGAACCGCAUGGGCAGAUGCAGAAUGCAUGCCAUGGCCGGGCCCCGGAGCGUGGUAAUCUUGGCUUCUCUCUCACCCAUGAUUAGCAUAGGUACAAGGUACCACUCAAAAUAAUCUUACAAAACUCUGAAAAAUAUACCCUCCGUUCGGAAAUAAGUGACGUAGAUUUGUAUAGAUUUUUAUACAAAUUCACGUCACUUAUUUUGGGAUAUUUUGGGACGAAGGGAGCAGCAAAUAGUUGUAUUAUGGUAUUACAAUUCAUCGACAAGCAGUGAUAUCAUAACCGAAGCCAACAACAGACACUUGUUUAUUGUAUUAUCAUGAUGACAGAAACCACCAUGGGAAUCACCCUGCCAGUUCUUUCUUUCUUUUUUUUGAUCUUUUCUUUUUUAGAUUAUAUUUGGUUAAUAUAGCUCUCAUUUCAACACCGAAGACGCGUAAUUUCUUAGGACACGUGCUAGUUGGUAACUCUAGGUAGUGUUUGGUUGAUAUCAUGAAGUGGAAUGUAAUGGAAUGGUUUCAAAACCUGAAAUGAUUCUUGUGUUUGGUUCUUAGAAUAUGAAGAAAUGGAAUGGAACCAUAUGGUUCCUCAAAAAGAAAUAUUCCCUCAAUAUGCCUAACCAUCUCAUUCUAAAAAAUGCAGGAAUGAGUUGGUUCCAAGUGGAACCGGUGAUUUAAGUAUUUGGUUUUUAGGAUAUAGAAAAGUAGAACCGUUUCAUUACAUUCCAUCCCUAUAAAAAUAUAACCGUUCCAUUCCAUUCCACCUCGCUCUAGAACCAAACACUACCUAAGUAACAAGAAAAGUGAUUUCCAUUUUGUCCAAAGUAAUUGGCCUCCGAACUGAACCUGUCACGUCAGCCUGACAGCGGGACAAUCACUAAAUGGGUAAGUAUCACAAAAUGCAACUUAGAAGCUUAAAAAAAUGUUGGUAUUCAGUUAUUCACUCUAGUAAGAAAGAUACAAAACUAAAAACACUGUGCUUAUGAUCGAAUGCUCGAUACAUAUACGUCCUCACGCAUUGGCACACUAUUAUCUGAUGUACUACACUUGUCGUAUAAUAACAAAAUUUAAAAAAGCUUACGUGUUUCGCGCGAAAGUUCAUGGAAGCAGUCACGGCAUUUUGUUCAUUUCUUCCAGGGAGACGACAAUUCUCCAUCAGGUAACCUUCGUGGAGUUCACGGCAUUUGUACAUGGCAGACGGUCAUCCAUCUCGAAUACAUACACGUUUACUUUACCCGCUGGUCCAUCCAAGAAAUCCAACGAACGAACCAUAUCCACGCAAUACAUUCUGAAAGCACGGCCAUCGCAAAGGACCAAAAUCACUUGUGGAACGAGAAUCUUACACCAGUAGCCUGCUCCACAUGCUGUGUUUGUCAGCAUCGAAACCUCUCGAGACAGGUCGCACAUCAACGCAACGCAAAAGAUCUCUGUCUGGCUCAGCGGCUCCGGUUGAAAAGUAUAUAGCCAGACCUGCAGUAGACCUGUGGGAUUCGAGGUUAGAGACAGAGCAUGGACACGCCGCAACAACCUUGUCCAGCUCAAACAGCGACAACAACGGUUGGUGACGAAAGGUGAAAAGUACCAGUCACUGGAAUGUUUGACUGACUCAAGGUCUUCGCUGCAGCCGCGGUCAAGCUAAGAUAAGGCGAGAGAAUUGCAGGUGAGAUGCAUGUGUGUGGAUGUGUGGUGCUGUGAAAGUGUUUUUAAACCCCUGGGCCAUGAGCCAGCUGAGCAUCAACUCAAGCUUCACGGCUCACACCACCACCCAGGAAAACCAAGGAGAAACGGCUGCCGUGUUGUGUGGGUGUACGACCAAGCAGAGGUGAGUUGUUCGCUCUUCUUCUGAUGUAGGAGUACUCCGUAGUAUACUGUACUGCUUCCUGAUUUUACUUGAGUUGUUCACUCUUCUUCUGAUGUAGGAGUACUCCGUAGUAUAUUGUACUGCUUCCUGAUUUUACUUGCUGUUGUUUUUAUAUUAAAAAAUGAGUGUGCCUAUUCUUUAGUGGAUUGAUUUUUAAGAAAUAAGGAUUGAAUCACACUAGAGCCCUUUAUUAAGAUUUGUAUAUCAUCCUCUUUUUCUCACCUCUCAUGCAUUGUCGUUGGAUUAAGAUCUAACGGUCAACACAUCAAUUUAUCUCUAACUAAAAAUCAAUCUACUUCUCUAGAGCAAAACCAUCCAAAAAUUGCUUGCUUGGAGUGAAAUGUGACCGUCUGAUAAAGCUAAACCUUUGUGCUUUUGCUAGCUGUUACGCACUUCUCUUUCCUUUUUUUUUUGAAUGGGCCGGUUACGCACUUUCUUUCACACCGCAGCAAAGUGUGAGGGUAACUCCAGUGGGGUGACCCAAAUCCUUUGGCCAAAAGCAUCCGUUUGGGUGACGACCGGCCUCCGUCCGUUUGGGUCUGCCUUGCCCCCAACUCGGUCACCCAUUUGGUCCGUUUUAUUAAUCAUAAACACGCAGGCUAGAGGAGGACAGGCACGGUGAAAAGAUGUUGUCUGUCCAGACCCAAACCUGCACCAAAUUUGGAUAAAAAAUGGGUCGUGACGGAUAAAAAAACGGAUGGUGGCCGAAAUGGGUCGCUGCAUUCGAACGUGUUUUUAUCCGUUUGGACCCAAACGGACCGAUCCACGCUAAAUGGGUCUACCCGUUGGAAAUGCCCCGACUCCCUGUGGAUGCCGAGGCCAUGAUAGUUUUUUCAUCAUCUUUUUUCUUUAGCAAAGUAGUUUCGCCAGUGAACAUAAUAUGCCAUGAUGUUAUAUUUUGCAGGUCGCCGGCCAAUCCCUCGUGCCUUCCAGUUUUCAACCGGUAAAACUCUACAUGCUUAUCCUAUUAGCAUGGUUUGUCUUCUCUUAUGGAGUUGGCAGCAUUCAUUGCUCCACGGUCCCUGGGAACAGCACGGACGUGGCCGCGUUGCUCGAUUUCAAGAAUGCCAUCACCAUCGAUCCACAGGGAGUACUCUCGACCUAUUGGAAUGCCAGCACCCCAUAUUGCCAGUGGAAGGGCGUCAAAUGCAGCCUGAGGCAUCCUGGGCGAGUUACCGCUCUUGAGCUCUCCGCCCAAGGCUUGUCGGGUCCAAUUGCUGCCUCAGUUGGAAACCUGACUUUCCUUCGUACACUUGACUUGUCGCGGAAUAACUUCUCCGGACAGAUUCCUCAUCUCAACAAUCUCCAAAAGAUUCAAAUCAUCAAUCUGAACUAUAAUCCGUUGGGUGGUAUUAUUCCAGAGACGCUCACAAAUUGUUCCAGCCUGAAGGAACUAAGCCUCUACGGAAACUUGCUGGAGGCUUCAAUCCCUCCGCAAAUCGGUGUCCUUUCAAAUCUAGUUUACUUGGACAUAUCCCAAAACAAUCUCACUGGGAUCAUCCCGUCCACCCUCGGAAAUAUAACCUAUUUACGAGAAAUCUACCUUGGACAAAAUAAACUUGAAGGAAGCAUUCCAGAUGAACUUGGCCAAUUGUCAAACAUUUCGAUUCUGUUCCUUAGGGAGAACAGCCUAUCAGGUAGUAUCCCAGUAAGCCUUUUUAAUUCAUCUUCUCUUCAACAACUAGAAUUAAGUGUAAAUCCUCUAGAUGAUACUCUACCAACUAACAUAGGUGAUCACCUCCCUAAUCUCCAGAAGCUCUACCUAAGCAAUAACAUGCUCGGAGGUCAGAUCCCAGCUUCCUUAGGCAACAUUACAAACCUAGAUACAAUAAAUUUUCAGAAAAACAGUUUCACCGGGGAAAUUCCUAGCUCUUUUGGAAAGCUUUCAAGUUUGGUUAGAUUAGAUCUUCAAGGAAACAUGCUCGAAGCAAAGGAUAGUGAAAGCUGGGCAUUCUUGCAAGCCUUGGGGAACUGUAGUCUUCUAGAACUACUCUUGCUGACUGCAAAUCAGCUACAAGGAGUCAUACCAAAUUCAAUUGGUAACCUACCAACCAGUCUAGAAGCUUUAGCAUUAGGUAGUAACAAACUAUCUGGUAUGGUUCCACCGAGCAUAGGGAACCUUUCCGGGUUAUUUUACAUGACAUUAGAACAAAACAGCCUUACUGGUACCAUUAACGAGUGGAUUGGAAACAUGAAAUCACUGCAAGCUUUACAUUUGACAUACAAUAACUUCACUGGUUCCAUUCCACCUUCUAUUGGCGAUUUGACAAAGUUAACAAAGCUCUAUCUGCAGGAAAAUCGCUUUCAAGGUCCUAUACCACGGAGCUUUGGAAACCUUCAAGCACUAUUAGAGUUAGACCUUAGUGAUAACAAUUUCGAAGGCAAUAUACCUCCAGAGGUUGGCAACCUUAAACAACUCAUCCAACUACAAGUUUCCUCUAACAAGCUUACCGGGGAAAUUCCUAACACGUUGGACCAAUGUCAAGGUCUAAUCAAACUCGAAAUGGACCAAAACUUUCUCACAGGAACCAUUCCAGUAUCCUUUGGAAACCUAAAGGCCUUGAGCGUUCUCAAUCUUUCACACAACAACAUCUCCGGCACCAUCCCAACAGCUUUAGGUGAUCUGCAACUUCUCACCGAGCUGGAUCUUUCAUACAAUCAUCUCCAAGGGAAUGUGCCAACACAUGGAGUUUUCAGUAAUGCUACAGCCGUUUUACUUGAUGGCAAUUGGGGCCUUUGUGGAGCAACGGAUCUUCAUAUGCCCUUGUGCCCAACUGCACCAAAGAAAACCAGAGUAUUAUAUUACUUGGUUAGAGUGCUGAUACCAAUAUUUGGUUUUAUGUCACUCUUCAUGUUGGUGUACUUUUUACUCGUUGAGAAGAGGGCAACUAAAAGAAAAUAUUCAGGAUCGACUUCUUCAGGGGAGGAUUUUCUGAAAGUUUCUUACAAUGAUCUUGCUCAAGCCACAAAGAAUUUCUCGGAAGCUAACCUUGUUGGGAAAGGAAGCUACGGCUCAGUGUACAGAGGAACAUUGAAGGAACAAAAAGUUGAAGUGGCUGUAAAGGUUUUUGACCUUGAGAUGCGAGGUGCUGAGAGAAGCUUCAUUACUGAAUGUGAAGCACUUAGAAGCAUUCAACAUCGAAAUCUUCUUUCCAUCAUAACUGCUUGCUC